UUUUUUUUUUCUAUUUUUCUCCCUAAAGUAUUAGAGUUGCUCUAACACUUUGUCGCGGAAAAAAAAAAACUCACCGCGACCCGUAGCCUGCGGGUGCGAGGCGGCCCAGUGCCACGUCCCCCACCUCCCGCUCCUCCAUCUCCACGUCCAAUCAGUCAACCGCAACGAAGAACCAAACAAAUUCGCACGCAAAACAGAGCAAACUUGUCGCCCGUGGAUUGCCCAACCAGGCAAGGUCAAUGCAGUUCAGCAGCUGCGAAACCAGUCAGUGAGCCGCGAGCUCCCUCCCGAUCUGGCAGUGGCAGCCAUGGCCGCGGAGAGCUGCCAGUGCCACCCCCGCGGCCUCUCCUGGUUCGCCAGGUCCUGCAUCCCCGCCGACCCCGCCCGCCACAUUGCCGUCCCCGUCCCAAUCUCCGCCGCAUCCGCCACCAACACCAACACAGCCUCCGACACCGAGGAGUCCCCCAUCUCCGCGCUCCCCGACGAGCUCCUCCUCGAGUGCCUGGCCCGCGUGCCCCGCGCCUCGCUCCCGCCGCUCCCCGCCGUCUGCUGACGCUUCGCCACCCUCCUCGCCUCCGAGGGCUUCCUCCACCUCCGCCGCGCCCACGGCCGCCUCCGCCUCCGCCUCCUCGCCGUCUCCGUCUCCUCCGCCCACGGCGCGGCCACAUUCGCCCGCGCGCUGCUCCAGCUCGGCGCAUCCUCCCGCCCCGACGUCGAGGUCGCCGCGCUGCCCCUGCCUCCGCCGCUCCUGCAUUGCGCGGGCUCCUCCUCCUCGGCCUUCGCGCACGCGCGCGCCGUCGCGCUGGGCCGCGACGUGUACCUCAUCGGCCGCGGCGCGCGCGUGCGCGCCUACGCUGUUCCCGCGGAAGAAGUUCGCGGCGGCGGCCGUGGGCGCGCGGAUCUACGUCGCGGGCGGGUCGGCGCGGAACACGGCGGUCGAGGAGUACGACCCGGACGCCGACGCGUGGCGCGUCGUGGCGGAAGCGCCGCGGCGGAGGUACGGGUGCGCCGGCGCGGGGGCCGGCGGCGUGUUCUACGUCGCCGGCGGGGUGGCGGUGUCCGGGCGCGCCGCGGGCGCUCGAGGCGCACGCGUGCGCCGGGUCGGUGGACGCGCUGCACGUGGCGUCAGGCGCGUGGGCGUGGUCGGCGCGGCCGCGGGCGGUGCCCGGCGGCGGCUGCGUCGUGGGCGCCUGCGGCGCCGGGGACGGCCACCUCUACGUGGUGGCGAGCCACGUGGUGGACCUAUCCUUCUCGGUGGAGCGGCGGUGGUGUCAACAGGGGUGGUGACGUCGGUAGAAGUGCCUGCGCCACCGCCCGUGCCCCGGGGCUCGGUGGGUCUGGGCACGGCGGUGCGCGUGGCGAUGGCCGGUGUCGGCGGGGACAGGGUGGCGGCGGUGGUGAACGUGGCCGCCGUGAGGGGCCGCAAACGGAGGCCGUGCCCCUCGCCGCGCAGGCGCGGUGACACAGAAGCAUGCACGUCAAGAGCAUCCCAUGGCCGUCCGGAAGCUUGGAAAUUUCCCUUUGCCGCCAUUGUGACGGAGUCCGACUCCAAGGCAGGGGAGCGACUCGGAAUGUCGGAUUCCAAUCUGCAGCCGGACAGGCAAUCCGAUUCGAUUGCUCCAAACCGAGUCGACUAGGCAAUCCGAUUCGAUUGCUCCAAACCGAGUCGACUACAGACCGACGAUCCGAACCGAGAACAACCCCAGCUGCGCGUCCUCUGGCCUAUAAAUCCAUGGCAACCCUCCCCUCCGGUACUCCAUUCAUCCAUCCACCCAUCACCUUCUCCCUUCUGCCACCGCCGCCGCUCUGAUCCCACUUUCCCAGGGUCAUGGAGAUGGCGGCGCUGGGCCCGGCGAUCUUCUCCCGCGGCUUCCGCUUCAACCCGACGCCCCUCGAGGCCGCCACCUACUACCUCCCUCGCCUCGUCGCCGGCGCGCCGCUGCACGAGGCCGUGCGCCCCGUCGUCAACCAUGCCGACGUCUACGGCUGCGAGCCCGCCGACCUCGCCCGCCAGUUCUGCCCGCUGCCCAGGACCGGGCACCGAUUCUUCUUCACCCACUGCAAGCUGCAGCAGCCGCAGAGGGCGGGGAAGGCCAGCAGGGCCACGCGCGCCGCCGGCUCCGGAUCGUGGCACUCGCAGAGCGUCAAGGACGUCGUGGACCACGCCGGUGUCAAGGUCGGCGAGAUCAGGAAGCUCCGGUACAAGAAGGGCGGCGAGUACACGGACUGGCUCAUGGACGAGUACUCGUGCUGCUUGGAGGACGCCGUCGUCGGCGACAGGCAGUUCGUGCUCUGCAACAUCUACGUGUCCCCCAGGGCCGAUCAAGGCUCCGCGGCGCGCCAAGAAUCCGCCGCCUUCUUCGCUCCACCUGCGCCUGCGCCCGUCGUGAUCGCGCAGGCUGCGGCGCCCAAGAGGCCGACGCCGCAGAGUGCCGAGCCGCCGUGCCCCAAGCGGAUGCGGGGUGCCGUCGCCCCGACGCCUCCGGUCGUGCAGCCGGCGGGUUAUUGCACGGCGUCCUUCGCGCCACCACUGCCGUACGUGCCUCACAUCGCCACUUCAGCUCAGCCUCCGCCGCCGCCAGUUCCGACCCGUCUCGCAGCGCCGCCGCUAAGUCGCUCGCUAGCGCCCACACCACUGCACCCGCGUUCGCCACCUCAGCAACAGAUGCCGCCGCCGCCGACUCUCCCGGUGGUACGUGCCUGCCACAUGCCAGUGCAAGCACCGGCACGUCACUGCCAGCCGCCUCAGCCGUCCGUGCAGAAGAAGCAGAGCACACGCGAUCCGUUUGAAGCCGCUGAGCUGGGAGACGAAGCAGAGGAGGAAAGGGUGGCAGCGCCUGAUCCCAAGGAGUCCCCUGCAGCGCUUGUUGAUCAAGAUGACGACUGGGCCGAGUUGGAAAAGUGCAUGGACGACGCCGUGCCAACAGCCGAGGGCUCGACGGUGAGUGAGGACGAGAUGGACCAGACGAAGCAGAGCACGGACGAUCCGUUUGAAGCUGCCGAACUGAGAGACGAAGCAGAGAAGGAAAGUGUCGCAGCGCCUGGUCCGGCACAAGAUUUCGACAUGGACGAGUUUUGCAGGUCACUAGAAGGAAAUGGCGACUUGGUAAGGCUCUUUGAGGAUGAAGACAACGUGCUGACAGCCGAAGCAGAGGAGGAAGCAGCUGCCAACUCUGAGGGCUCAACGAUGGCUGAAGACGCGCCUGAUCCAUCGUCCAUGGAGCAGUCGCCUGCGGCGGCACAAGAUUUCGACAUCGACGAGUUUUGCAAGUCAGUACAAGACGACAUAUGGGCAUGCGAGCUGGACCACUUUGCAUGCUCUUUCGAGAACGAAAGCUUCUCCUGGGAGUAUGGCAUGGGUUAGGAAGAGAUCCAGGUUGCAACUGGAUUGGGAAGGCUUGAUGACUGACGACAGCAAGAGCAGUAGCAGCUGCACAAGAGCUCCAUCCAGAAGAAGGAUUGCGGAAUUUGUAAACUUUUCUGCGGAUGAAAAUAAUGUUAUCCUUCCUAAAUGUAACAACUCUGCGUGUUGAAUUCAGUUUGGGCAGUCUUGUGGUAGCAUACAUAGUAUGUUUUUGAAAGCUCUGGUUCCAAAUUUGUUUCUGCGGAUCAGGGUCUUAGCAAAUUCUGUAACCUGCGUGCAAUAGCUAUUGGCAUUUGGCAACACAUUCUAAAAUCCUCUUACCCUACGUUCCUUAUCAAACUGAAAAUACGAACGCUAUCUCUUGGCUGCAAAUCGAAUCUAUCCAUCUCUCCCGUCCCCUUCCUGCGUUCCGGCCGGCGGCGGCGUGAGCGUCGAGGCGGUGGUGGCCGUUGGACAAUUCCAUGUCAAUUGGUUCGGUAAAUGAUGGCACAUUUCUCUUUCUCAAUUUGUUAGCUUGAUCUGAGUCAACUUUAGGUCGCUUUUGGUUACAUUUACUUAUUUGCACCGUUACAUCGAAUGUUUAGGUACUAAUUAGAAGUACUAAACGUAGACUAUUUACAAAAUCCAUUACAUAAGUGGAGGCUAAACGACGAGAUGAAUCUAUUAAGCCUAAUUUAUUUUUUGAUAAAACAGGAGGGGAAAGCUGGUUAUAUAUUAUAUGUAAGAAAAGAAGAGCAAAGAAAUUAUCCAGUUUAUCUCAAGAAACAAAGAAAGAGAGAAAAAUCAUAAAGAUUACAAUAUAUGCUCUAACCAUUCUAACAUUGAUUGCUUCCAUUCCUCUUUUACGCGAAGGACAACCUGCGUAAAGACAGUCUUGAACCUCAACAUGGCACUAUAGACUGAUGGAGUGAUUCCUUUGAAUAUCCAGUCAUUCCUUUCCAUCCAAAUACACCAACUCAUGAGAAUAAUGACUUCCAUGAAGAAUUUAACUUGAAGCUGAAUUCUGAAGCUAUUGAGGAUAUUAUAGGGCUCUUCUGUCAAGUUUACAAACAGGCUAAUAUUGAUCCAACAUUCCUGAGCAAAAGGACACUCAAGGAGAAGAUGGAACAAGGUUUCUUCUCUAUUAUGCGUGCAUAGGUGUGACGACUGCCCAAAUCUUCGAGUUAAUCUUAAUCUGAGUCCCUGAUCCCCUGUCUCAGCUUUACCGAGUUUAAGUACUCAACUUCCGACCCCUGAGAUCCGACCCCUCUCCACCGCUCCCCAGUUCCGACCCUGCCGACCCCAAACCCAUACCGCCGGAUCCUUUUAAGUCUUCCCACCGUAUCUCUCUCGAUCUGAGCAGUGGACCAACCGAGACUGACCGGUGGACCCACAAAAUCUUUUCCCCAGAUCUUCCACGACAGACGCACUCGAGUAGCAUGCCCGCUGCAGAGUUCCCCCACCGCGUGGCCCAACCCUUCCGACCCCCGUCGCUCCGCCCCGUCGCCGGCCGCGACCGGAUGGAUAUCCGCGCCCCCUUCCCCAAUCGCAGCGGAAGCCCUCUGCAACCCUUUCUGCAGCACCUCGCCGCUCGCGCCCAUCAUCACCUCGCCGGACCCCCAACUGCGGAGCCCAAUUGUAAUAAAUGCCAUUUGGAAUAAUAUGGUAAUCAUGAAAAAGUCAGAAGGAAAUUCAAAAGAAAAAGAAGGAAAAAUGGCAAAAAGAUCAAAUUCGGCAAAAAUUUGAUCGAAAUUUGAAUUUCAAAUUUGAAAUUCAGAAAAAUUUGACCAGUAUGUGGAAUGCAAGUAUGAGAGUAUUCGGAAUUGAGAAAUCAAAAACUUAGAGUUAAAUUGAUGCCAAUUAUUACAAAAGCAUCAGAGAAAGAAGAAGAAAAGAGAAAUUCCGUUUACUGUUCCUCGUCCGACAAUAGGUUCAGAGAAAACAGCUCCAGAGUCUGUUUUCAAAAUUCAAUUCUGAAGAAUUUUCCAACCAAGUGUACCAGAACAACUAUACCAUGUUGAAAUAUAAACUUUGGGCUGCAAUAAUCAUGUGUUGUUGGCCAAGAAUAGUAAAAGGAAGGAAGUCAACCUCGAGCUCAAAGUCAGCACAAAAUCACAAAUGACUGAAACUCUGAAAUUUUUGCUAAGUCUGAAUGACAGUGUGACCUCAACUUUGGGAUUGAAUUCAGAGCCAUUUAAAUCAAAAGAGGUACUUGUUCUUGUGCAAAAUGGAAACUUGGGAGAUCAUAGAACACAUUUGAGAAGAAGUUGGACUGGAAAAACAAGACUUAAGUCCUUAAAUUGGUUCCCAAAUUAAAGUCCAUGUCACUGUCGAACUGACGAACAGCAAUUGCAAUUCAGUCGACAUUCAGAGCUAACCCGAGCUAAACUUCAAAAAUUCAGUGAAUUCGAUCUUUAUCUCAAGUUGACGCCAAAAUAAAAGAUGAAGGCCUUGAGUUUAUCCCCAAGUUCUGUUUAAGCACGAGCAGCCGUCGGAUCAAGGAUCAGCCGCUAGCCGCUUCUGAAGAUCGCGGGCGCCAGAAGACGGUGACUGAGCACCAGGACGUGUCGCCACCGCCGUCGUCGGUCGUCCGCCAGCGCAGCUAAGCUAGGCCACCUCCUCGCCACAUACGCCUACGGGUAGGCCACGGUGUCACCCAUGCGCGCGGUGAAACACUUGAAUAUCUACCGCUCCCGCGCCGCCGUUUCACCGCCGCUCUUUUUACCGCCGCCCGUGCCUCUUCUGCCAGACACCGCCGCCAAGCAAAAUUCCACCUCCACACCGCCGCUCCCGUCGAUUCCUUCCAUCCACACCUCCGCCUACACCCCACCAGUAGCCCUACCACCUUGUUGCCCAGCUCCUUCGCCGUGACACCUUGUAUCGUCGCCGCUUCUGUCCGCCGCCGUCGCACCGCCCGCUCUCGGUGAGAACCCCUCGCGCUGUCUCUCUUCCUUCUUGAGCAGUCGUAGUCGAGUCCUUAGGGUCCUAGGAUGGUGUCGGGGUAGUCGUUUGAGUAGGAUGUGCCGUAGUCGCGAGUAGCCACGGCCGGCCGAGGGAGUCGCCGCCCGUCGCCGUGGAGGAGGUAGCUCCGGUCGUCUCCAGGGGAGCUGUCGCCGCGCGCGAGGUCGUGUAGGGUUAGGGUUUGUGUCGUCGUCGAGACCCGCCGCCGGGAGGGCGCCGGCCGGCGAGCCGCGCCGCCCCCUGUUCCGGUCGCGCUUUUGGCGGGAGGAGGAAGAAGGAGCUGUGCACCCGGGCCCGCGCGUCAGUGAGAGAGAAGGGGAGGGAAGACGCAGGCCGAAGCGGUGCGGCCGUCUUGGGCCGGCGUGUUGAGGCCCAGUGGCGCGCGCGGGUGACCCGAAGAGAAGAGGCCGGAGGCCCAGAGCAGCGUCACAGGCCGGCGUCGCGCGGAGAAGAAAGAAAAAGAAAAAGGGGCCGUGGGCCGGUGCUGGGCUACCAGGAGAGAAAGAAGGGGGGAAAUCGGCCCACGGAGCCCAUCGGGAAGAAGGAUAGGGCCGGCCGGUAGAGUGUAUAGGAGAGGUGGGGUCCGCGCCGUGGGGUCCAGGUGUUCGUGAGAAGGGGUAGAGAGGGGGUGAGUAAGAAAAGUUUUCCGGGGGAAUUUUCGGGAAAAGUUAGAUUUCUUUAGCAAAAUAAUUCGUUUAAAAUUCGUUUUACACCAUUUUAAUCACAGAAAUUUGUAGGAGUGUCCAAAAUUAGUGAACCCAAUUUUGUUAGGCUUGUUUUAUUUUCCUUUAUGCAUUAAAAUUUUUACACCCUAGGAAAAUAAUAAAAAUUUGGGUAUUUAUUUAAUGCCUUCCUUUUAAAGGUAAUUAAAUAAAUGCUUAAUAUUUAUAAAAUGUAUAAAAAUAUGAAUAAUACUUUAUUAAUCACAAAUAACCCUUAACUCAUAGGAAACUAGAUUUUUUUGAGUUAGAAAUUAUUUACCACAUUUAUCAAAAAAAUUAAAAGCUAUAGGAAGGGUUAAGUAAGAAAAAUAAAAAUAUAGGUUAAUCUUUUUAGAUUUCUUUUGUGUGUUGACUUACAACUUAUUCGUGAUAAGUCGUAUAGUCCUUGUUGGCUUGCAACUUUAUCAUGAAGGAAAGUUGUAUAGUCUGUUAUUUAAAAAGUUUGCAUUCUAACCCCUGCAUAUAUGUACCGUAGAUCCAGAAGCACCAGAAGAGGAUUGCUGGGAAUUUUCAGAAGGACCCUUGGAAUUCGACGAAGUGUUUGAAUUUGUCCCUUGUGAAGCAAAUCCGUCGGCUUCUACUAAUCUUUUUAACGAUCAAGGCAAGCCCCGGUGCAUUUAUACCUAUCUAUUUUGGAGUCGUUAUUUCAUGUGACUAGUUAUAGGUUAUUGGUUUAUUGCAUGCACUAAGUCUAGGAGUUGGAUGAAACCUAUUCUUGUGUGUGAUCAUGCCUUGAUUUAAGGACAUCUUUGCCACUUGUUCAAAUCUUAGAAACUACCCAAGUCUAGAAUUGCUUACUUGCUUACAUACUUGGUUUACCAACCUUAGGGAAAACUCUUAAGUCAUACAUGCUGCUUAUGAAAGAUAGUUUGGAGUAGAGGAUCAGACAGAAGCUAGAGAUGUAGUUCUGUCUACUAGAUUAAUUUGAUUGAGGACCGAUCCGUGUCUUAACUGCUGAUCAAGUGAUAACAUCUGAUCACUUACUGGGUAUGGGACCAGUAAAGCCCAGUAGAUUAGUAAAUUCUAUGAUCAGGAAUGCUCCGUACCCGCAUUUGACGUGCUGGAGAUUGGCAGGGGUGUAGCCUGAAACUCACAUGGGGAUCAGGCCAGACGUGGGGUCCCAUGUGGGGGUGCAUCCCUGGGUCCGGGUAGUUGUAUUCCUAAUCAUUGACUUUACUAAUCGAGAGGUUGUUAGUACGACCUGGACAAUCGUAUGAUGCUGGUGAUCGGGGUGCUCUCCUGCAGGAUGUAAAUUGAUCCGGAUCGCCGCAAUUCUCGGUUAUGAAUGCACUUGAUCACUGUUGAGCAUCGUAGUGUAACUCAUGUGAUAUAAAAUCUCCUGUUGCCAAGUAUUGUAUGAAUUAACAGUUAUGAUUGUUUUUACUUCUGUUAUCACCUAGAAUGGUUAGGUAACAACUUAACUAAACUAAAAGACAAAACUAAGGCCUUACUCGUAGUAAGCUUUUUCGGCAAAAACCGUGUCAACCAAGCACACCCAAAGGCUGACAUGCAUUCCAAUGAAAAACUAUUAUAUUGGUUAGUCGGGUAAGACUUGCUGAGUACCCCGUACUCAGGGUUUCCCCCUUGUGGUUAUCUUUCAGAAGCUACACAGGAAGCUACCGAGGAGGAGACCCCGAAGACCUAGAGUAUUGACCUGAGUCUCUCAAUACUCUAGAAAACCAUUCAUCGACGCAUCUUCUCCUAAACUGUUUAUGUUUAAUCUUAGAGCUUGUCUAACUCUGCAUCACUAAGUUUGUCUCAACUUAAAUAUUGUAAUAACUCGUACCUCUUAAUUAUGUAUGUAAAAAUGUAAUAUUUGUUGAUAUUAUCCCAUCGCGGAUAUUAUCCUGAUGUAUGGUGAUGAAACACGCCGUGGAUCUUUCGAGGAGUCCUAGGGACACUCGACGGACUACCGGACUUAUGCUGUUUUAGGUGCGUUUCGGAUAAUUGCUGCUCCGACAGCGAUUAGGCGCACUUAAACCCGCUUAAGUUGGGCGGUUCCGCCACACCAAUGCCUCCCGUCUUUUCCGCCGCCCCUCCACAGUCGCGCCGCCCGGACUGCGCUACGCGACGAUUCCUCCGUCGCUAAUCCACACCCCGGCCGCGACAGUCCCUUUCCCGCCCUGUCAGAGCAGCGCCCCGACAAUCUGUUGCUUCGCGCUCGCCCGCGCGACCGCAGCCCGCCUGUCUUCUCACCUGUGCGCCCUCGUUUCUAGCGCCAUUUCCCCGGUCACUUCCAUCAGAUCCACCGCACGACGACGCCCGCCUCCGCCAAAUCUCAACCACCGGCAAAACCGCGCCUGCGCCGCCCUGUCAUCGGUGCCCAAUGACCGCCGGUGCCAUCCCCGAAGUUCUGCUCCACCGCCCUCGUUGCUCAAUCACCACCCCGGCAGCGCACUCCAUCGUUCUUCCCGAUCUUCGCGCCGCCCCAACCCUCUCUCUCGUCCGCACGACUAUAAAAAGGAAUGCCGGAGCCCCGCCGGAGUUCCCGUUCGCCAUCGCUGCCCUCCCGCUUUGCUCCCAGUUCGUGCUCACCGCGCCACCGCCUAAGUUCCUGAGGAACUCUCCUCUCCGCUCCACACCAUUUUCCCCAAUCCGCCCAGCCUCUUGCUCCUCCGCACUGCGCGAGAGCUUGCUUGUUGUCCACAAGAAGCGCCGCCGCCGUCGGAGCACCGCCGGGCAUCGCCUGCCCAAGUCUGCUCUUUUCCGACCUCAAGCUUCACCUGUGAGACGAAGGUAAGCUGCCGACCCUUUUUCCGCCUCGUCCGACCCCUUCUAUCCGACCGACCCUUGUUCCGUCUCGCCCGACCCUGUCUGUUUCGCCGACCCUUUCUCCGCCUCACCCGAGGGCUCGUCUGUAUCUUUUUCCUUGAACCGAGGGUAUAUGCGUAAAACUUGGGGACUUCUCUGCGUUAAGUCUGAGGACCCCAGCACAUCUAUUCCUCUAGUUUAAGGGUCUGAUCAUAAGUUCCUUCCCAUCCAACCCUCAUAUCUUGAUCUCCACCAACUCAAGCGAACCUCCCCACCUUUCCGUAACUUGCCGCAAGUUUCUGGGCUCAAACUUGCAAGUGUUGCUGUUGAAAUAACCGUCUAAAUGCUAACCCAUGCAUUGCAUUCGUGUAGAGCUGCGUCUCGCCGACGGCUUCUACGAGUUGUACCCGGCGCCCGAAGAAGGAGUUGCAGCAGAGCUCCCGCCUCUAGAAGCCGAAGCCGCCCCAGCAGAAGACCUCUUCCCUUCCUCCUCGCUUGAAGGCAAGCCCCGGAUGCAUGAACCCCCUAUAUUUUCCCAAACUUGCGCAUGCCUUCUUUAUCAUGCUUGUGCAUUUACGUAUAGGAGUUGUUUGGAACCGUAGAUGCAUGACUUAGCUCCCUGAUCUGAACACUAGCUGUUGGACCAAGUAGUUGCUGUGCUUAAAUAGGAAGCGGUAAAAGUCGAGUGAUUUCCUGUCACUCGCGAGUUGUAGGAGUUGGUUGUUUCUCCUUCUGUUACAACUAUAAGGACGAUGGACGGGGCCGGGUUCUGGUUAACUUUUUGGUGGUCGGCUGAUCGUCCUGUCUGUCUAUGAAACUUGCUAAGGCCCGACAGUGGUGGUGUUCGUGAUCAAGUGUUGAAAGUACUAACCUCAUACUUAUUAUGGGAUGAGGAAGCCGAGUACCGGAUUGACCCUAGACGUGAGCGGUCGCCCCAUUGUCCUUGGAACGAAGUUUCCCCUGCGGGCGCACGUGGUGGCAAGUGUGGUCACAGAACGGCAGAGGCCGGGUCUGUGGAACAUUGCACCAAAGGGAAUGGGCCCGACACGGGUUAGGGGAUUGAUGGGGAAGGCCGACACAGGAAGCGACCCUCGGUGGUGCGCGGAUGUCGUGAGGUUAGGUUCACCAUGCAUGGUUAAAGAACUCGAAUCGAUUCGUCUGCCUCUCACAGUUUGAGACUACUUGAUCGCUAUGUCACCCUGAGUAAUAAAGGAAUCUGAUGAUGACAUGGUCUUGAUGAUGUUAUAUAUGUAUACCUUUUGGUUGGUUCUAUGUUUGCUUAGAGUAUGUUGCUAACUUAGACCGGAUAAUGAACUUAGAACCGGAGCUAAAACUUUGAAAAUAAGGAUCUACUUAGUGCCUUUGGCAAACAAACCCCUCAGCCAAAGAGCCUUGCAUGUCUAGAGUGGUGGAGUAGCUCUACUCCCUGUCGGUUAAGUCUUGUUGAGCUUAGUAGCUCAGCCUUGUUGUGGCUCUUCUUUUUUAGGUGAAGUUGCUGCUCUUGAGUCCUCCUCUGUUGGCACUUGGCCGCCCCAACUCCCUCCGGGUUGGACGGUUGAGUGGGAUCCCUCCUCGGACGGCGAGGAGAGGGAUCACUGAUGUCCUGGUUGGCCUCACCAGGGAUGUCCGACCCCGACGAAGUAGCUUCCGCUUGUUGCCUUACCUUCUGUUGUUUUCUUUGAACCUUGUAAAACUCUGAUGUUUAUUUUAGUGUUGAACUAAAUGGUCAAUUGUUUAACUCAGUGGACUUGUUGUAUUCUCUGGAACUGCUCACCUUCGUGUGAGUUUGCUAACUCGGUCCUGUUCAAGUGGUUAAAUCGGAUGAAAUCCGACGGCACUUCGUGUUAACUUGGUUAAGGCAUGAGUGUCGCAUAUUAGGCGACUUAAUCAUGUUUAAUCAAGCUAAUCCGAAGUGGAUCCACCACAGCUGGACACAGGAGUAAGAGGGCAAAUCCAUAUGUUUCCUUCGAAGAACAUUCCUUGUACUUAAUCUGUCUUUGAGAAGCAACCAGAAAAAGAAUUUAUGUUUGCUUUGGCAUUUAGAUUUUCAAAGCCACCGGAAAAUUGGAUGAACAUGGUGAUGUCUUGUUAGUGCUCUAUAUGCUUUUGAUGAGGAAAAAUGUUGAUUGCCCCAAAUAUAUGUCCAGCAGUCUUGCUCAUCAUUUAUGGAGAUAAAAUCCAAAUCGGCAGCUAAUUGUAGCAAUUGAUCCAUGGCUAGGGCUGUUAGAGGCAAGUUGAAGAGCUGUUGUAAAUCUGUUAGCACAUAAGCCUGCCUGAGAGAUAUGUUUUCCUUUCUAGUAAAUGAGUAAAGUUGUGGAUAUGCUUGAGCAAGAACCUUAUUGUUCCACAGAUCAUGCCAAAGUAAACAUGUUCGUCCAUUGCCAACUGUUACUGACGCUAAACCCUUAAAUUUGUCCAUGAGCUUGACAAUGUCUCUUCACCAAAAAGAUCCUUUUCUUACUUGUCCUGGCAGUCUACCAGUAGCAUAAUGUUUCUCCCAAAUCAGAUGAACCCAUGGGAUAUCUGCUUGAUUAAAGAAUUUGUGUAGGUAUUUUAGUAGAAGAGAUUCAUUUUGGGUUCUCAGGUUUAAAACACCAAGGCCACCCUCUUUCUUUGGCAGGCAUACCAGCUCCCAGGCAGCUUUGGGUGGUUGUCUAUUAUUUAUAUCAGAUUUUCUCCAGAGACAACAUUUUCUAUACUUAUCCACUUGUUUGUACACUGUCUUAUGUAAUAAGAAAGUGCACAUAUGAAACAUUGGCAUAGCUGUGAAGAUUGAAUUUGUUAACUGAAGCCUUCCUGCAUCUGAUAAAAAAUUUGAUGUGGUUACCAAUCUUCUCUCACACCUGGAUACCAUUGGUAGAAACUCUUCAAUCCUGGGUUUAGUGAGACCCAGGGGUAGCCCUAGGUAAGUAAAAGGGAAACCACCUGUAGCACAUCCAAAGGUUUGUGAUAAGAACUGCAAUCUAUCUUCUGUGAUAUUAAUAGGCACCAUCAUUGAUUUAGAGAAGUUAACUUUCAGACCAGUGGAUACUGCAAAAUUUUGAAGAAGCUGUUUCAAGUGUAGAAGCUAGUUGGGGCAGCCCUCCAUAAUUAUUAGGGUGCCAUCUGCAUACUGUAAGAUAGGGAAAUCUUGACUGUAUGCCAAAGGGAUAGGGAGGUGCAGAUGACCUUGCUCUUUUGAGAGGUUAAGUAUAGAUUGCAGGAGGUCAGCUCCCAAAACGAAUAAAAGAGGAGAUAGAGGAUCCCCUUGACGAACUCCACUCUUACAAAUGAACCUUUUCCCAGGAACACCAUUCAAGAGCAUGGAGGAUGUGCCUGAUCCAAAUAUCUGCUCCAUCCACUGGAUCCAUUUAUCUCCGAAAUCUUUCUGUUGCAUGAUUGACAGCAUAGCUUUGUGUUCAAUUUUGUCAAAGGCCUUCUCAAAAUCAAGCUUAAGAAUGACUAUCUCUUUUCUCAAUUUGUGGUAUAAAUGUAGAUACUCAAACGUCCAGGCUAAGCAAUCUUGUAUGGUUCUUGACUUAAUGAAACCAUAUUGAUUUGCAUGAAUAAGUGACUGGAUUACCUUUUGUAGUCUGUUGGCCAAAAGCUUUGUUAUAAGCUUCAUGGAUGUGUUUAGGAGAGAAAUUGGCUUGUAAUCUGUGACCUUUGCUGCACCCUCAAUUUUAGCUAUUAGAGUGAUAUAUGAUCCAUUUAUGCUUCGCAAGCAGACAGUGCCAGAGUGAAAAUCUUCACACAGAGAAUAGAAAUCUUGUUUUAUUAUGUGCCAACAGCUCUUUAUGAAAUUGGUAUUAAACCCAUCUGGUCCAGGGGCCUUGUCAUUUGGGAGGUUAUUGAUUACAAAGUCAAUCUCUUCGUGUGAAAAAGGUUCCUCAAGGUGGCUUAAGUUGUCAGUUGGAUGUAGAAGCUGUUGCAGAUCAAAGAGCAUGGAGUUAUACUCGGAGGUGCCCAAUCUUUCUUUAAAAGCUUCCCAUAAAAUUGACUCCUUCACUUGAUGCUGGUAUUGAGGAGUUCCAGAUGUGUCCUCUAGGGAUCUAAUAUAACUUUUUCUAUGCUUAAUGGUUGCAUUUGCAUGAAAGAAUUUUGUUGACUCAUCACCAAACUUUACCCAUUUAAUGGAUCCUCUCUGUUUCCAAUAGAUAUUCUGCUGUUUGAGAAAGCAUUGCAACUGUUCCUGUAGAAUGACUUUAAAAUUCCAUUCCAUGAGGGUUAAGUCUCUGUAUUCUUCAAUUGAUUCCAUAAAAAAUAAAGACAACUUCACAUUUGAGAUAAGAGACUUGAGGUUCGAUAGUUGAGAAUUCCAUGUUCUUAGAACCCUUCUAAGAUUCUUGAAUUUUUUAGUGAUAGUUUUUGCCUUGUCAGAUUCUUGAACCGGGACUGACCAACCAUGUGAGACAAUAUCCAUGAACUGAUCAUGUUCCACCAAUAAUUUUCAAUCUAAAAAUCUUACCCUUUGGGAUAUCUGUCCUUACAUGAAUGACACAGGGUGAAUGAUCUGAUGUUUCCAUCACCAAAGAGUAGGCUGAUGUGUUUGGGUGACUGAGAGUCCAAGAAGCAGAAGUAAAGAACCAGUCUAGUCGUUCCAACAAGGGUAUUUGUUGCUUGUUGGACCAAGUGAAUUGCUUGGAUUUUAGAGGAAUUUCCACUAAACCCAGAGUGUUAAUGGCAUCAUUGAACAUGAACAUGUCACUGUAAUUACCACCUGGUUUAUUUCUAUUUGAAGGAUCACGUAUGAGAUUGAAGUCCCCCACUACCAACCAGUCGUAAUCAUCAGGCAUUUGGAUGUGCUUGAACCAUUGAAUGAAGGCUAUUUUCCCCUCCACAGUGCAAGGACCAUAAAUGUUUGUUAGAACCCAUUCCCAAUCAGUAAGAUUUGAAGAUAACUUAACUGAGAUAGCAAACUGAUUCAUGAAAAUUAAUUCCCCAUAUAACACAGACGAUUUCCAGAUUAUGGCAAUCCCACUAGAGGCCCUUGUGACGGUAGAAACUCAUACCUAUCAAAGGAUGAGGGACAGAACUUUUUAAUAAAUAACGAAUCUAUUAAGCCUAAUUAGUCCAUGAUUUGAUAAUGUGUUGCUACAGUAAACAUUUGCUAAUGAUGGAUUAAUUAGGCUUAAUAGAUUCAUCUCGCCGUUUAGCCUCCAUCUAUGUAAUGGGUUUUGUAAAUAGUCUACGUUUAAUACUCCUAAUUAGUAUCUAAAUAUUCGAUGUGACACGUGUUAAAAAUAAGCAAAAGAACCAAACGCCCCUUAGUUGUGCUCAUCCAUAUAAACACACACAUUAUUCUUCCUGUCUGCCUUUUAUACUUUGAAGAAAAAUAUGAUGGUGCCCAUUUUAGGGUUUGUUAAUGCUGUCUGUAAUACUUGCAGGACACCCGUGAGACAGCGUUUGCCCUCAGGAAGUUGUCACUCACCAAGGCCAAAAGGUACCUGGAGGAUGUGAUUGCCCACCGUCUUUGUAUUGUGCAAGGGGCGCACCACGAGAGACGGCAUAGUCCAUGAGCUCCUGGAAGGUGCCUGGCCGGACGACCCUCAUCUCGAGCGGCCCGAUGGAGCCGUCAGCGACCCGGCACUGCCAUGUACACGGCGUUCAGGGCCUCCUCCAUCUCAAGGCAGCACAUGCCGAGCGUCUCCUUGCAAUGUGGCUAUGGCUUCUACCCCCUUGCCGGACAGCAUCUGCAUCAUCUCCCAGUAGAUCACGUAGCGCACUGGGAUGCUCUCGGUGUACGCCUGGCUGGUGUAGUCCAGCACGGCCGCGCCGCCAUGCCGCCGGCGGAGCAGCGGCGCGGAUGCGCGCUGCACCUCGGCCUCGUCGGUCUUGUCGGAGCCGAUGCACAGCAGCACGUUCCCGCGGCGCACGAACCGGAACUCCGGCGCGGCGUUGUGGAACCCCGUCACGCGGAGGACGUCGCCGACGCGGUACCGGUUCAGCCCGGAGUAGCUGGUGAUCACGACCUCGUACUCGUGUCCAGCCUCCACGUGCACGAGCUCCACGAGCUGGUUCUCAUCGCCUCGCGCACCGCCUCGCGCCUUGAGAUGCCGGCCACCGCCUCGCGCACCGACGUGUCGGAGACGACGCAGGGGCUUAGCUCACCGGCCUCGAUAUCGGCGGCGAGCUGCUCCAUCUGGAGAACACGUUGGCCGCCCGACGUGCUGGAGCUGGCCGAAGAAAAUGUUGUCAUUUUUUGUUUCUUUUCGAUCAAAAAUCCUUACAUUUCUUUCCUUCUUUCCUUCUAAAUUACCCAAGAGGUUAACAUGAUUGAGGAGCACAGGUCUUUGCGCGAGCUGCUAGCUGAUCCUGCCAUUCUUGUCCACCACUCGUGGAGGUCACCAUCAUGUUGCGCCUAUUCCCUCCGGUGCACUGUUGGGAUCGCUAGCUAUUCCGAGAUGAAUGAGUGAAUUUGCAGUCAGCAAAGAGGUGUAUCGCCGUUUCAGGUCGACUUCUGCAGAGGGGGCACGUUGAUUGGUUCGGCCAACCUCUUGCUUGUAGUCUGUCAGUUGUCCAUGGCCUGUUUUGAAUGACCAACCGGAAAAAUAUCUUGCAACUUGCGGGCGCCCAAAUCCGUCAAAUAAGCGUGUCAAAGUUUGUUGCCGCGAGCAAAGGCACUGAGCCGUCGGCAAUGCGCCGGAUGUACGGAUCCAGGUCCUCGUAGGUCACCAUGGGCACCUUGGCUCGGAAAGUGGCGCGGUCGGUGGCGGCGGCGAGGCUGCAGUUGCUGGCGAGGUACUCGAUCGGCGUCGGCGUUGCGGGCGAGGAUCUCGGCCAGCACGCGCUCCUGCACGGCGUCCACAUCGGCGGUCAUCUCCUCGAUGAAAUGAAGCUUCUCGGAGUCGAUCGCCCUCGCCGCACUAGUUGCCGGCGACGGUGCUGGGCUGGUCGACGCGUCGUCGUCGGUCAUUUCCGCCAUUUGAGUAAAAGGUGGAGCUGCCUGCACUGAAUGUCCGGAGAAGGACAAGAAAUGGUCUGGGAAUUGGGAUGCUGGGGUAGGAGUAGGACUAGAUUUUUUUUUUAUAGCGAAAUGGUUAGGCAUGGGACUAGAUGCCGCACUGGGACUAGUUUUUUUUAUAUUGUUAACGUGCUGGACGCACGGUGUAUUAUUUGGAUUUCCCGUUGGCGAUCCUACGUGCUCCACUUCGCCAAACACCAUGAUGACCCAAUCAACAAAUAAAGAUGCAAAUGUUGAUUGCUGCAAUCAACAAAUAAACAGGUGCAUGAUGACCCAAUCACCAUGACAAACUACACAACUUGUACUUGUACAGGCACAAGGACACAAAUUAUUGAUACACUGAUCGAUUCACAUGAACGGAAGCGUAGCUGCACGCGCUUGGGCUUUGCCAACUUCCUUCUCCUUUGGAGAGAAGCUUAGCAUUUCUGGUGCCCAGUCCGGCAAUGCCGGGCUCAAGUGGCUGGAGACGACGCGCGAGUCGAGCAGCUCCAUGAUUCGCGGCGCCGUCACGCACCGGGGGACCUUGUACUGCCCGGCGGACGCGCCACGGGAGACGGCCAAGUCCGCGAGCUCCUGGAAGGUGCCCGACCGGACGACCCGGAUCUCCAGCGGCCCGAUCGAGCAAAGCGCGACCCGGCCCUCCCGGUACACCCAGUUCAGCGCCUCCUCCAUCUCCAGGCAGCACCGAUCCAGCACGUCGCCGUCCACAGCAGCGCCGCCGCCGCUCUGGGCUCCCUUGGCCUUUAGCAGCUCCCAGUAGAUGACGUAGUGUCCCGGGAAGCUCUUGGUGCAGGCCCGGCUGGUGUAGUCCACCACGAUCGCGCCGCCAUGCCGGCGGAGCAGCGCGGCCGCGCGCUCCACCGCGCGCUGCAGGUCGGCCUGGUCGGUCUUGUCGGCGUCCACGGACAGCAACACGCCCUUGCGGCGCACGAACCGGAACCGCGGCGCCGCGUUGUGGAACCCCGUCACGCGGAGCACGUCGCCGACGCGGUACCGGUUCAGCCCCGUGUAGGUGGUGAUCACCAGCUCGUACUCGCGCCCGGCCUCCACGUGGGCGAGCUCCACGAGCUGGCUCGCGUCGCCACGCGCCUCGCCGUCGACGGGGAGGAACUCGAAGUAUGCCAUGAAGGGCAUGAUGGUGUAGGACACCUCCGACGGGUCGCACAUCGGGGAGAGGUUGACGCCGAAGGCGCACUCCGAGGACGCGUACAAGGUGGAGAAGAUCGGCAAGCCACCGCUGUAGUGAUUCAGGGUCGGGACGUACUGCGCCAUGGAGCCGGUGACGAUGGUGUCGAGGUACUUGGUGUUGGGCCAGAUGCGUGCGAUAAUGCCCGCCCCACCGCCCUCGUAGCCCUCGGCGCGGAUGAACCGGGCAAGCUCGGGGUCCGGUCGGAGGACGCCGGCGACUGCCUCGCGCACCGACGGGUCAGUGAUGCGGUCGGCGAGUGUGCCGGCGUCGAUGUCGGCGGCGAGCUGUUCCCAGUUGUCGAGAAAGAAGGUGAUGGCCCGGACGACGCCGGAUGCAAACGUGGCGCCGACGCGCACCACAUCGUGGCGAUGGCACAGGCCGCACAGCAUCUGCGCGUACAUGCUCUGGAACGCGUUCGGGCAGAGGAUGGCCGCCACGGGGCUCGUGAGGGCGCCGGAUAAAGGGAGCUUCUUGAAGUGGUCGCUCUUGAACAAGCUCGUCAGGACGGGCUGCGCGAGCAGGCCUCCCGGCGUCUUCGUCUCCAAGUUCACGAAGUGGAAGUAGAGACCCCUCCCCUUGUCGAGCCCAGGCACGUACCUGCACGCCACGCACCAUGGCCACACGAUUACUGCAGCUGCUCUGCUAGUACCAACAAAUUAAAGAGAGCUUACUGGUUGAUGACAGGCAUAGCGAGGCUGCCCAGCAGCAGGCUGCGGUGGCGCUCAUCCUCGACGGUAGGUAUCAGCUUGCGCUCGCCGCCCGACGUGCCGGAGCUGGUGAAGAACUCGGUGACGGGGUGCCCCGGCCCCGUGAGGAUGGGCGAGCGGUCGCCGUUGGCGAUGCGGCGGAUGUACGGCAGGAGGUCCUCGUACUCCACCAUGGGAACCUUGGCCCGGAAGGUGGCGCGGUCGGUGGCGCCGGCGAGGCCGCACUUGCUGGCGAGGUACUCUGUCUCGGCGUUGCGGGCGAGGAUCUCCCCCAGGACGCGCUCCUGCAUGGCGUCCGCGUUGGUGGUCACCUCCUCGAUGAAGCGAAGCUUGUCGGCGUCCAUCUCUUUCGCCGGUUGACGAGGCUGGGGUACAGGUCGCCGCGCCGGGGGUCAACUUGCCGGUCGUCGCCGCUGCCUUUGGCUGGCUCAAUCGGUCAAUCCUAGCAGCUGUGUGGUGUCUGCAGGGUUGGGAUGGAAAUCGAGGGUUGUCAUCCCACCAGGUGCAGCAGCUGUGGUUGACAUUCGGGCCUUGUUUAGUUGCCCAACUUUGAAGAUGCAAAAUCAAUGUUGCAGCAUUGUAGCACACUGUAGCGUUUUGUUUGUAUUUGCGAAUUAUUGUUCAAAUAUUGACUAAUUAAGCUCAAAAGAUUCGUCUCGCAAAGUACAAUAAAACUGUGCAAUUAGUUUUUGAUUUCGUCUACAUUUAGUACUCCAUGCAUGUACCACAAGUUUAAUAUGAUGAGGAAUCUUCUUUUUGUACCGUGUCAAAGUUAGGAGUUCGGGGGAACUAAAAAGAGUCUCGGUGCCUGUGUGGAGCACGAGAUGCUGAUGACACCAGACAAACACGCGGGGUGCUGUUGGAGUAUUGUACAGUACAACACUCAUUUUGGUCGUCUAAUGAUCGUGAUGGUGAUCAAUAAAAGGAAAAGUUGCAAAAAUCCACCCAUACAUUUAGGAGAUUUCAAAUACCCAUCCGCGCCGCGGCUCACUUUUCUUGCAGUCUGAAACCUGCAAAUUUUAUGCAUUUUCAAAUGUAGCUUGCCAUUUCAUUUGAACCAGUGCUUCACAAUUGCUCAUUCCAGCCAUCGAUGCCAAUGCCACCUAUGAAUUUAGAGCUUGCCAUUUCAUUUGUAUCCCAUCUAAUUUCAGUAGCCAUGCAAUGCAUGUUUGUCCUCCCAGUAACCUUACAGGAGGAACCAACAAUACCAAGGGUGCUGAUAGUUCAAGUAUGCCAUCGAACUACCUGCUGUUCGGAGGUGCAGGGAACUCUAGACAUGAAAUGGAUGGAAUGAAACAAGAUCAUCUACACAGCCAAGAAUCGAGAAUUGGAUAAAUUCAAGUAUGCCAUCUCUUAUGCCACGAAUGAAGGUUCACUCAUUCACAUCAGAGGGUAAGCUGAAGCAACCGAAUAUUUAUGAUUUUGGGGAAAGUAUGCCAUCGCUGCAUGUUGGUGUUAGCUCUAGUAGAUUCAAUUUUGAUGGUCUUCACAAUUCCAUGACCAAAGCAGAACAAUUCUGAAUGGCAUGUGUGCAGAAGGAGCUGGAAGGUUACUGAACUGAAUGUCUGAAUCAUGCAGGGGAGAAUAUGGUUGCAGUACAAGUGCAGGAAACGGUUCGGCAAACAUGUCCAAUCAGAGAAACCAUCGACUGGUUCAGAACUUCAGAUAUGACGGCCUUCUAAUUUCUAAAUGGUUGGAAGCCGGCAAUCCGAUCCAUGUUCGUCUAGAGAAAGGAGCUUCACCCCCACCGCCACAGCCACAGGAAGGAAUUUUCUGGACGAAAUUUGGAGAAAAGAAAAACAAACAGAAAAGAUCAAAAGUCGGAUUCGCAGCUGGCGUCGGCAAAAGUCGGAUUCCCGCCACGCGCCUCUGGCCUAUAAAUCCAUCCUUCUCUUCUGCCGCUCCAUCCAUCCAUCCUUCUCUUCCGCCGCUCCCCUUCCGAUCCGCGUCGUGGAGAUGGCGGCGCUGGGCCCGGCGAUCUUCUCCCGCGGCUUCCGCUUCAACCCGACGCCCCUCGAGGCCGCCACCUACUACCUCCCUCGCCUCGUCGCCGGCGCGCCGCUGCACGAGGCCGUGCGCCCCAUCGUCAACCACGCCGACGUCUACGGCUGCGAGCCCGCCGACCUCGCCCGCCAGUUCUGCCCGCUGCCCAGGACCGGGCACCGAUUCUUCUUCACCUACUGCAAGCUGCAGCAGCCGCAGAGGGCGGGGAAGGCCAGCAGGGCCACGCGCGCCGCCGGCUCCGGAUCGUGGCACUCGCAGAGCGUCAAGGACGUCGUGGACCACGCCGGUGUCAAGGUCGUCGAGAUCAGGAAGCUCCGGUACAAGAAGGGCGGCGAGUACUCGGACUGGCUCAUGGACGAGUACUCGUGCUGCUUGGAGGACGCCGUCGCCGGCGACAGGCAGUUCGUGCUCUGCAACAUCUACGUGUCCCCCAGGGCCGACCAAGGCUCCGCGGAGCGCCAAGAAUCCGCCGCCUUCUUCGCUCCACCUGCGCCUGCGCCUGCGCCCGUCAUGAUCACGCAGGCGGCGGCACCCAAGAGGCCAGCGCCGCAGAGUGCCGAGUCGCCGUGCCCCAAGCGGAUGCGGGGUGCCGUCACCCCAAUGCCUCUGGUCGUGCAGCCGGCGGGCUAUUGCACGGCGUCCUUCGCGCCACCACUGCCGUACGUGCCUCACAUCGCCGCUUCAGCAAAGCCUCAGCCUCCGCCGCCGCCAAUUCCGACCCGUCUUGCAGCACCGCCGCCGAGUCGCUCGCCGGCGCCCACACCACUGCAGCCGCGUUCGCUACCUAAGCAGCAGGCGCCGCCGCCAACUCUCCCGGUUGUACGUGCCUGCCACAUGCCAGUGGAAGCACCGGCACGUCACUGCCAGCCGCCUAAGCCGUCCGUGCAGAGGAAGCAGAGCACACGUGAUCCGUUUGAAGCCGCUGAGCUGGGAGACGAAGCGGAGGAGGAAAGGGUGGCAGCGCCUGAUCCCAAGGAGUCCCCUGCAGCGCUUGUUGAUCAAGAUGACGACUGGGCCGAGUUGGAAAAGUGCAUGGACGACGCCGUGCCAACAGCCGAGGGCUCAACCAUGACUGAGGAUGAGAUGGACCAGCACUUAUCCUCGUUGUUUGAGGAGGAAGAGAUCCCGGAUGCAAUUGCAGCACCUGAUCCGGAGUCCAAGGGAUCCAAAUCGGCGCUUCAAGAUGACUUGGACUUGCACUGGACGACGUCUUACGAGUUACGACGAUCGAGUUCAACAAUGGCUGUUGACGAGCUUGCCUGGACAUGAAGCAGCAGUAGCAGCAGCGGAAGAGCUCCACACAGAAGAAGGCUUCCCGAUCACGUCUACGUGGUAGGAAUGUAGGAUCGUAGCACAUGUAGAAUUUUUCUGUGGAUGGAAUUUUAUAUGCCAUCCUGAAUGUAAAUGUUGCAUGUUGAUGAGUUUGUUAGGGAAUAAUCCUCCUGUCCAAGACCUAAUGUAUGCCAUGACAUUAUCACUGUCAGUCUCAACACACUUGACAUUAUCACUGUCAGUCUCAACAGUAGUAUAAUGGCCGCCAAUUUAGUUUCUGUUGUCCCAUGUUGUCUCCUGAUUUUUCUAAUUUUUGUACCCUCAUUCAAUGUGCUUGAUUACUGUGGCAAGUAAAAUCCGACACCCAAGGAACCUUCAUGCGAUGUGUUACAUGGUAAAACAAUAGGCACAAAAAACAACAGGAGCACGUUCAAUUUUGCACCUGUUUUAGUGAAACUGAUAUCUGACGAUGAAGAUAUAAGCCUUUGACAAUAUUUAAGAAUGCAUUUCUUAAGAAAGACAACAUACAUGUCUAGCAUGAUUUACAGAUGCAGGGUUGCAGUCAUCCACUCCCCGGUAUCUAAACGAGUAUAGAUGUAUCAUCGACUGAUAAUUUGCUGUUGUGAUUCAAAAUCAGACACCAUUAGUUACAUUAUCAGCACUCCCUCUAACAUCUCAUCCCAUAACUAGUACUCCCUCUAUUCCAAAUUACAGGUUGUUUUGGCUUUUCUAGAUUCAUAGAUGUUUGUAUGCACCUAAAUAUAAUAUACGUCUAGAUGUAUAUAUAAACAUCUAUGCACUAAAAAAUCAAAACGACCUGCAAUUUGGAACGAAGUAAAAUGAACCAACUGAAACCACCUCCGCAUCCCAUGGCAUUCCACACUGCAAUCACACUGAAGAACUCCAGACCACCGUAUCCUCUCAGAUUUGUUACAGAAUGAUGGGGAACAGCCCACCAACAGCGAUCUGAGUGUCCUUGGUCACCGGGUAAGAUACUGGCAGUGAGAAGAAGACGGUGAUGGUUGCCAGUUGCCUAGGCAGUGUAGACUGCUGUUGUCUUGCGACCGAUGCCAUUGCUUCUAAUGCGACGAGGCUGCCCAGAGACUGCAUUUGGAUUGGAAACAAUGCGAGUCAUGCGUUGAUCAAAAUGCUGCUAAAGUGGGAAUGAACUGAAAGCUCAUUUUGAAGGGUAACAGCGGAAUGAUUCAUGCGUUGAUGAAAUGCUUCAAACCUUGGGAUGAACUGUAAGCUUAUUUUGACGGCUAGAAGUAGGAUGGUUCAUUUCAUUUCUGAACUGUAAGCUCGUCGAGGAGGACGGUGCUGGCCGUCAGGUUGCCGUGCACGAUGCUCAUGUCGUCUGGAGGUAGGCUUGGCCACGGGCUGUCAUCCGCGUCGCUCAGUCCACCGGCGUGUUCGGAGCGCGAGCUGCAGCAAUGCCAUUCAUCACAGUACACAAGUUCAGAGUUUCGGUUCCACACGCGUCAAAAAGUGCAGAGUUUCAGUUCACGGGGACUCUAAGAAGUGGAAGGAAUGACUAGCUGGCAGCAAAUUUAUCAAGAGAUUUCGUAGAAUCGAGUUAAGUAAUGUUGAUAAUGCAGUGCUGAAUGUCUAAUCCAUCAAUUGUUAGGCCCAGUUGUCAGGAAACUCUGUCAGACACAAUUGUUGCAGGGUUUCACUUCAAAAGGUACUGAAUACUGAAAGACGAUGGGUUAGGAAUAAAAUUAUCAACAGAUUUGAAGUAACAAAGUUUAAUAAUGCAGAAAAGUUAUUGCUGUCGAAACAAGAAAUCCGUUUACUAGUACAGCUAAUCCUAAUCCAUAACUUGUUCGAACAAAAAUUGCACAAGGUGUCAGUUUCUUUCCACUGAACCUAACAUAAGUAGCUCUUGUUCAUUCUAUUGAACUUUUCAGGCAACUGCAGAGUUUUUAUUUUUAUUUACAAAAAGAAACUACAGAGACAAUUUACGGAGGUGUUAGUUUGCUUUAACUGAACGUAACACGACAAUUUGUUCUCAAUAGUUAGCGUUUUCUGCAUUGGCCAUGAACAGAGAAGCUGUGAAUUAACGCAUGAUUCUUCAGAUGCUAAGGGUAUGAACCGACACAGAGGCAAGCCCGGCGAGGGAAUCCGACUUGAAAACGGGAAAGCAAAACCGGAAAUUCAAAGUCUGGGCACACAUCUGGCGAUUUUUCGGGAGGAAACUUUGGAAACCAAAACCGGAAAUUCAAAGUCGGACACACAGCUGGCGCCGGCGGGAAUCCGACCUCCACUCGACCACUCCCGUCCCGCAGCGCGCCGCUGCACGACGCCGUCCGCCCCGUCGUGCACCACGCCGACGUCUACGCCUGCGAGCCCGGUGACCUUGCCGCCCAGUUCCGGCCGCUGCCCAAGACGGGAGACCGCUACUUCUUCACCUCCUGCAAGAAGGGCGCGCGCGUCGCCGGGCCCGGCUCCUGGAACCUGCAGAGCACCAAGGCCGUCAAGGGCGGCGCGGAUCAGGCCGAGGUCGUCGGCGAGAUCAAGAAGUUCCGGUACAAGAAGUGCGGCGUGUUCACGGACUGUCUCAUGGACGAGUUCUCCACGUGCUGCUCGGAGGAGCCCGCCGCCGGCGACAGGCAGUUCGUGCUCUGCAAGAUCUACGUGUCCCCCAAGGCUGCUAAGAACUCGGCCGAGCGCCAAGAAUCUGCGGCGUUCUUCGCGCAGCCUGCGCCGCUGCCCGCCGUCGUCAUGACGCAGGCGGCGCCCAAGAGGCCGGCGCCGCCGCAGGUUUCCGAGCCGCCGUGCCCCAAGAGGAUGCGGGGUGCCGUCGCCCCGACCCCUCCGGUCGUUUAGCUGGCCGGUUGCACGUCAUACUUCGCGCCACCGCGGUCGUACGUGCUUCACACCACCGCUUCAGCUCAGCCUCCGCCGCCAUUUCCGACCUUUGCAGCGCCGCCGAGUCACUCGCCAGCAAUCGCACCACCGUGUCUACUUGCGCAGAUGCCGCCGCCGAUUCCCCUUCCCCCAAUGUUAAGUGCCUACCACAUGCCAGUGCAAGCACCGGCGCACCAGUACCGGCCUCAGCCGCCCGUGCAGACGAAGCAGAGCAUGCGCGAUCCGUUACGUGUCGACAGCCGAAGCAGAGCAAGCGGCUGCCAACUCUGAGAGCUCAACGAUGGCUGACGGCGCGCCUGAUCCGGCGUCCAAGGAGUCCCCUGCUGCGCUUCAUGAAGGUUUCGGCAUCGAUCACAUCAUGUCGCUUCCAGAUGCCGCCUUCGAGGAGUGCCUCAAGUCGCUUCCUGUCGACAUCGAAGAGUCUUUCAAGGAGCUCCAGGAAGCGAUCCAGGUUUCAUAAGAAGACUUUUCUUGCUUAGACAUGCAAGAGCAGUAGCAGCAGCGGAAGAGCUCGCUCCAUACAGUCACAGAUUCCAGAUCAGGAAUAGGAUGGCAACACUUGUAAAUCUUUCUGCGGAUGAAACUAAUGUUAUCCUUUCUGAAUGUGACAACGUUGUGUGUUUAAUUCAAUUUGGGCAGUCUUGUGGUAGUACAAGAGCUGCUUGCUGUUAUGGUUUGCAAGCGAUGAUUCGAAAUUUGUUUCUGCGGAUCAAGGUCUUGCCAAGUUGUCCAAUCUGUGUUCAUUAGUGUUAUUUACCAUGACAAGAAAAACCUGCAAAACCUCCAAGAACACUACACGAAGCACCCUUAAAGUGCCGCAUAAUAAUGAGACAAUAUAUGGUUCAAAUUUCAGAAAGCACACAGACCAGCACUGUAAACUAGUACAAGUGCUGCUUGUUGUUUGAUGCAUUUUUAUAUGUGCUGACAAGCUAUAGUUCCAAAUUGUUUAAAUGGAUCCAUGUCUUUCCAAGUUCACUUUCCAUCUCUGUUCAUCACUGGAUAUCUCAUGCAUUUUGAGACAACAUAUGGCAUCAACGUCUCAUGCAUAUGUUGACAAGUACAAGCUGCAAAAGCGUUGAAGGGUAAAAUCACCAGAACCACCUCAUCAAGAACCCUAAAAGCACUGCAUUUUGAGACAACAGAUGGUACCAAAAGCACCCAUACGUAUAACAGCAUUCACCAAGAGCCAGUUCAUGAUCACUGGAUAUAUCAUUAAGAAGAUACAGAUCUUUGCCAUUUCUCAUCCAAGAAUGCAUUUCUGCAGAACCGAAUACUCAGACAAAAGAAAGACAACAUGCAUGCCCACAAUGACUCUUUCGAUUUUUAAUACAUGAUUAUUAUAGGGAAGCACAGUACAACUGUAACAGUCAUCGAACCCCUAACACCUUAACUAGGACCUGACAAAUACUAAACUCAGCACAACAACCAUGGCAUCUAUAGAUCAGGCAUACCAACCCCAGCUUUCUCAUCGUAGGUCUUCUCCAGCACAAGCUCAAUUGGUGUAUCCUUUGGGCCAGCUGUGUGAUUGGAAGGAAACAAUCAGAGCAACUUCUCAUCAACAAAUGUGCACGAGAGACAUACCAGAUAGCCAAAGAAUGUAUUUGAGACGACAAAAAAGAGUAUAUGGCAAAAUGUUUAAUGAACCUGUUUACUACUGAUUUGACCUACUUAUUCGUUCACUUAUGCAACUAAUAUCAUCUCUGGAGUUAAAUCAUAACUGGUGCUCAAAACAGAACAAUAUCAGAGUCUAUUUGCCCCAUACUCUGUUGAACUACAAUUCUCCUUCCAGCACAGAGAAGGUACCCAAUAUGUAUCGCAUCUCAACAACACCAGAGUGCUGAAAAAUUCUAAACAAACAGAUGGGAGUCGAGAAAUGGAGAAAACACUAGAUGCAGCCAGUUAAUAUCAGUAUUAAGUACUGCAGCAUAAGAAGUGCUAAUUAGUUCACACCUUUCUUUAGGUAAUUAAUGUUGUACUGAAAGGCACCAUAAAGUGAGAAUACAAGAUGUGUUUAUGAGACAUGCAUGCUGUGGAUCGCCAUAUAAUGAGUGUUAAAAGAAAAUUAUGAGACAUACGUGAUGUGGGUCUCGGCUUUUUUCUCUCCUUCAGAAUUUCUGGCCGGGGUAUCACAGCACCAGAUGCAUUCAUUCCUCUGGCGAAUCUGACUUUGGUCCCAUCUUCCAAAUACUUAUAUCCAAUUUUACAUGGUUUCCUGUGGUAAAUAUCGUGUUGACAAAUGAUUUUAUAAUGAGAAGUUAAUAAAAGCAAUAUCUCUGUAGGUACUAAAACAUGGUCAGGUAUCAUAUCCAUACCCAGUCACAGGAUCAACUACUUGGAUAUUCGAAACAUGAAGUGGAGCUUCUAUUGAGAAAAUACCACCUGUGUGCCCUUCCCCUUGCUUAAUGUGUUUCUUAACCUGAAAUGAUGAAAGCACAACUAUCUAUGUAAUUCCUAGUGCGCAAGAGGACACGAAAAGGCACAAGACAAUGAAACCAUGUUACUUGCUGGUUGCAGUUAACAGUACCCAGAAUAAAUAAACACCGAGUGUGCACCAAAUUUUAAGUAAAUACAUAAUGAUUUUAGACAGAUGAGAAAAACUGCAUAUUUUUUUGUUCCUGUCUGGUAUUCAACACAGCAGAUUCUGCAAAACAAAGCCCUCAGCUACCACAUUAUAACUAGUUGAGUUAUUGAACAUCUAUUGGUCAUGAACUUAUGGUCUUAUUGCAUGUUAAUUCAGCUACAAAUUCAGAUGGUCUUACGCCAGUAUGUAACUGUUGAUAUGGUAGGCAGAGUGGCAGACAUGUCCCAAAGAAAAACAGUAAAGCAUGUAAAGAGGCAUUGCAGUAUAUGCAACAUGAUAAUGAUUUGCUAUACUGAAAGAAAUUAUGCUUGACAAAACAUAUAAACAGGAGAUAUUGGUAUGCUUGUUCCCCUUGAGUGUCACUGCUAUUCUUUCGUUUAACCAAUUUGUAAAGCUAAUGGCCAACAUCCACCUAUAGAUAAAUGAAUGCGCACAACUACUUUCUUUGCGCCAUAAUGGAACUGUGGCAGUUUGGAGGAAGAGCUACAUUAUUCACAAGUAAAACUCAUGUUAUCAGCCUCAAAGCAGCACAACAAGGACAAAAACUGGGCAUCAUCUAACUACUAACGUCACUUUUUUCAACCAAGAGCACAGUACCAACACUAGCUUGAACUCUGAAGUCUGAAGAAUUUACAUAAAAUUUACGACGGGCCACCUUUCAACUAUAAUGGUUUGGGAAUUUGGACGGGACGGAACGGAUAGAGCACAAUGUUAUCUAGGGGGCCUUAAUUGAAUAGACACGGCCAGUCUGCAAAAACCUAAAUACCAAUUAUACUAAGUAACUGUGUUGAGUCCAAUUUAACCCACAGUUGUAGGAUGCCACACAUAUCUUCUAAACUGAUUCCACGCCCGAGUUAAUUAGCUGGGGAAAGAGCGUGGAACAACAAAUUACCAAGUUCUUGCCCUCGACGAUGACGCGAUUCUGGGACCGAAUGACCCGCUUGAUGAGCCCGGUCUCCCCCUUGUCCUUGCCUCUGAUGAUCAUCACCUGGCAGUGAAAAAAAAAGGAGAAUGGGAGAUCUCGCAAUGAGAAGAUAGUAGGACUGAAAAGACUAACUGGGGGAUGGGCUGCAGAACGAGAGAGAUUACGUUGUCACCGCGGAGUAUCUUCCAGUGCCUGAUGAGCUUCUCCGCAGCCUUCCACCCCAUCUUUCCUUGAAGCCGCCUCCUCUCUCCCGCGGGUUUGGGGCUGCGGCGGCCGGUGACGGAGGCGGCGGCCGGCGAGGGAUGGAAGAAGAGCGAGUGGCGGCGCGGGGCGCUGGGGCUGACUGCUGAGAGCGUGAUUGGGCCGGGCUAGUGAAGAGGAAGCUUGGGCUGCUGCUGCUGUUUGGGAAGGAUUGCCUGGCCUGCUAUCCUUGGGCUAAGCCCAAAUUGACUUCAGUCCACACGUUUGACAAAUUUCGCCUAUGCUACAAUUUUACUUGCAAAUUAAAGUUUGCAAAAAUGCUGCAUCUUUUAUGAACUUAGAAGAUAGUGAUACCCAUAAUUUUCAGAAUUAAAUUCCAAAGUGGUCAUAUCAAAUCCCAUCUGUGUACAAAGGUGUAUUAACACAAAAGGUGAUUUAGGACAGAGAAAAGGCCCAGCUUCAGUAACAAAAGAGAAGGCCGACAGCUACGCUCCUCUUUUUCCAAAUGCUUUAGAACAUCUAUGUUUUUUCAAGCAUCAUCCAGCACCAUUACUCAACUGCUUGCGGUUUGACGUAGUCGGUGAAAAACAAGUUGUUUCCUAGCACUUCGAAAAUAUAGCCGCAUUGACGCCACUGAAAAAAAAAACAGUCUAUGUCAGACUACCGGACCUCAUUGCAAGCGAGUUUAGAAUUACGCAUUCCUACGCUUGGAUUCUUCUCUUCUCACUGUGCAGCUCUGAACCCCAGGUCCGAGUGUGUCGAUGCUCCGUCUCUCUUCAUAACAAGUGUUCUUCUCCGAAUCCCAAAAAGUUUGCUUCGACGUCGGUUACACUGUACUAGACGGUGGCUAAAGUCUCUCCAUUUGAGUCUGAUCUCAUCAUCCUCGGGUCCUACACUAGAACAGGUCAACAGCUGGCAGUAAAUUCAGAAUCAGGCCCUUCUGUCUGGAGUUUACAGCAAUCCAGCCAUUUCUAUCGAGAUGUUGAAUGGAACUGCCGUGUGAUCACAAGCAGUACCAGUGUCUCGUACAAUAAAAUUAUUGGCUUUAUACGGAGAUCUUUAAAUGGAAUUCCCCUUGGAGAUGCCAGAUGUGUAAAUGGAAACUGUUGACAAAUUCUUCACCAUUGCUGAAGAUCUCCGAGUUUCAAGCAACUUCGUCAACAGUUGAAGCACAGCGUACGUAAAGAACUCCAUGGUCCCAUCCCGUGCACCGACGACGAUCGACCAUGCGCACCAGCUUCCCUACUCCCAGUUUCCAAGCUUAAAUGUCAACGAGCGCAUCACUAAGCUACUAUUCAUAGCUCUGCUCUGCACCAAGCAGCUUCACCAAACUCCCCGCUCAAAGCCACAUCCAGUUCCCCAUGGGCGCCGGCGACGACACCGCGCCGGUGGCCAAGGCCGCCAUGGAGGUGUCCUCGUCGUCGACGUCUACCUCCACGGCGCGAGCGCCUUCGCCAGAGCCGCCGCCGUCGGUGCUCAGGUCCGUGAUGCUGUCGUACGCGUACGUGGGCAUCUGGAUCAGCCUCAGCUUCUCGGUGAUCGUGUACAACAAGUACAUCCUGGACCCCAAGAUGUACGGCUGGCCCUUCCCCAUCUCGCUCACCAUGAUCCACAUGGCCUUCUGCGCCACCCUCGCCGCGGCGCUCGUCCGCGUGCUCCGCGUCGUCGACGUGCCCACCUCGCCGCCCAUGACGCCGCGCCUCUACGCCGCCUCCGUCGUCCCCAUCGGCGCGCUCUACGCGCUCUCGCUCUGGUUCUCCAACUCCGCCUACAUUUACCUCUCCGUCUCCUUCAUCCAGAUGCUUAAGGCGCUCAUGCCCGUCGCCGUCUACUCCCUCGCCGUCGCCUUCCGCACCGACUCCUUCCGCCGCGCCUCCAUGCUCAACAUGCUCGGGAUCUCCGCUGGCGUCGCCGUCGCCGCGUACGGGGAGGCCCGCUUCGACGUGUUCGGCGUCACGCUCCAGCUCGCCGCCGUCGCCGCCGAGGCCACGCGGCUCGUGCUCAUCCAGAUCCUGCUCACCUCCAGGGGCAUGUCCCUCAACCCCAUCACCUCGCUCUACUACAUCGCGCCCUGCUGCCUCGCCUUCCUCACCGUGCCGUGGUACGCCGUCGAGCUGCCCAGGCUGCGCGCCGCCGCGGCGUCGGCGGCGGGGCUCGCGCGCCCCGACGUGUUCGUGUUCGGGACCAACUCGCUCUGCGCCUUCGCGCUGAACCUGGCCGUGUUCCUGCUGGUGGGGAAGACGUCGGCGCUGACCAUGAACGUGGCCGGUGUCGUCAAGGACUGGCUGCUCAUCGCCUUCUCGUGGACGGUGAUCAAGGACACCGUCACGCCCAUCAACCUCGUCGGCUACGGCAUCGCCUUCCUCGGCGUCGCCUACUACAACCAUGCCAAGCUGCAGGGGCUCAAGGCCAAGGAGGCCGAGAGGAAGGCGGCAGCCACAGCGGUGCCCAAGCCGGAUGACGCGGAGGCGGCCACGCGGCUGCUGCCGGAGAAGGACGGCAGCGGCGGUGACCACAAAAACUGAAACGCAUUCACUGAAAAAUGAUUCUGUUGUACACUGCAUUUUAUUCAUCUCAGCUAUAGGACGUCUGAAACUUCGAUUUAGUUCAUGGUCGAUUUAUGCUGUUUAAGUUUUGCGGUUCUUAAGUACAGGAAAUGCAAAGGAUAAAUGAUUCGGAAGUAUGUUUGUUUCUUGUUAGCAUUUGAUAUCUUUUAUUUCAUAGAAUCAUAUCAUUUAGAUGAUACAUGUAUCAUCGAACUGUUGGUUACUACCAAACUAGUCUGGCGGUCUGGAUGCCUUCUCGUCAUGAAAAGAAUGGCUAUUGUUGUGCUACAAGUCACAGGGUACAAAAUCUUUAGGUUUACUCAAAGUGGCACCAGCUGAAAAGGAACAAAAAGAUACAGCAUCUAAACGUGUUACAGUGAAGUGAUGCAUUGUGAGUUGCUAGGCAGGCAGGUAAGCCGUCCCUAACUAUAUGCUCCCAGUCGACCAAUCACUCAGGUUCCUUCAUCUUCGCUCAAAGGCUCAAAGCUCACCCGAGGAGAGCCAAAAAAUGGCCUAAAAUAUUAUGCAUAUGGUUCGGUUGAAAUGGACUUUUCUGUUCCAUAAUUCCAUGUCCCUUCUUUUAAGUUUUUUUUUUGUUUUGAAACACCAUACGUUUUAAGUUAGGAGCAUGAAUUCUGACAGUUCAUCUAGUGUGGUGUCUGAAUUUCUGAAAGCGUGAACUCGUUGGCGAUCAGAUUCAAUCUUUUUACGUUCUGCGAUUCUUCAAUUCAUGGAAUGCAAGAGACCGGCUUUUUGGGCAGCGGUGGGAGGAGAGCAGCUGCAGCCCCUUGCCUUUCGCAGCCCGCGCGCCUCGGAGGCGCCGCACUCCGGCCGCCGUGCCGCCCCUCCGGAUCCCUCCGCGCCGCCGCGUCCCUCCGUGGCUGCACAGCCCCUCCGCUUCUCUGCACGGCCCCCCUCCGCUUGGUGUGCCGGCGUGUCGCGCCGCGGCUGGGCGGGAAGGCCCAGGCGGAGCAGCAGAAGCAGAGGCUGUAGAGUUGACCAGGAGCCUCAAUGACCCCACAACCAACGGCGGCGGGCUGCCAGAGACGGAUCGGACGGCGCACGCGUCAGGGACGGAAACGAAACGAAUUAGGCAACCGAGGGGGCGGAGUGCAAAACUGAGCCUCGCUCGACUUGGGUUCCGUCCUCGUCCCAUUGCCGCCGCAUUGCGUCGUUCUCCUCCGGCUAGGGUAGUUUCUCCGUUGGCUUUCCGAUCUCCAAGCUUGCCGCGGGCAGCUUCGGAUCACUCUGAGGUAAGAACUCGAGUCCCUCCGAUCAAAGCCCACCCGUUUGUUGCUGUCCGAUUAGCUUCUGUCCUUGUUUGCAAGUGAUAUUGUGCUGCGGGGAGCGGGAGAAAUUAGGGUGUGUCAGAAUCUCUGCUUUCCACUAGAUUCAGUUACUUGAUUGCGAAACGUUAGAGUGCUGAUUCGCGUUCCCCAUUGAACGUUGAUCCAAUGAUCCCUCUCCCGACGAUCCCAUCCUCCAAGGGGCCAAGCCGCUAAGGGGAGCACACUAGAUAUUGCUAAUCAUGUACUAGAUGCCUAGAUACAUAGGAGGCAGCCUUUAAAUUCUAAUCAGAAAGCAAGGGGAGCACACUAGAUGUUCCACCCCUUUUUUUUAAGUUCUGUCAGUACUAGUGGCUCUAUCCUGUUUCUUAUGAAAACACUAGAUUCAGUCCAGCUUCAUACCUACAGAAUGGCACAUGUAAUUUGCUGGUGGAUGGCUUAUAUUUUUUUAAUCAUACUUGUCUUCUAUGCAAGGACAAGGUUGAUCUUAACAUAUUUGGGCAACAUUUUUUUGUUGACCCAAAUGGGCAACAUAUUUUAGAUACAAUCACAUAACUAAGCUUUCAGUUAGAUCUGAGGAGCAAUGAUGGUUUAGAGACUGUAUUGUCUAUGCUCAGAAGGAAAUUUUGUCCAUCAUAUGACUCAGUGACUGGUACAUCUAUCGGCAACACAUGAGUUAUUUCAGAAUGCAUAAAGUAAAAUUUUAAGACAAUAAGUAGUUAAUGUCUUGUAUGUUAGGGCCAAGCUUGAAGCAGUAUUAACUUUGUUCAGUUGUAUAAUGUUUUGAUUCUUUUGUUCAGUCUUCAGAGGGUAUUUAUCUCCAUGUUCUCCAUGUUUACUGUUUAGUCACUCUUAUUCUUAACUGCUUAGCUAUUUACUUGGGUUCAGAUUUUAUUUUAGAUUCACACAUUAUGUACAUUGUUCUCUAAUUCUUAUUUUGUUUUUUUUCCUGUUCCUUUUCCUACCCUUCCAUUCAUUUAAUGGAAUAUUGAUACCUUGCAAUUACACCAGCCCGCUCAAUUAUACUUCAGAUAGCAUCUUCUUUGCCUGUCCUCUUUAACAUACUCUUGUUGACGGUGCUAUCAUAUUCUUGAUAACCUUCCGUACUGCCUAUCUGAGGAUACUGCUAUUUCUGCAUUUGUUCCUCAACAGUCACUUGCUUUGUGGUUCCAUUUUCCAUUUGGAUACCCAUGGCUGAAUCCAUUUCGAGAUUAUUACAUAUAUUUUGUUCUAGCUGUUUCUGUUGUUUUUUCCCUAUCCAUUCAUCAUCACUUUGCUCCCCCAAUAUUGUUGGUUCCUGUGCUCUUUCCAAAGUUUUCUUGAAACUUUGAGCUUUGAAAGAUGCCGAGGAGUACAGAAAAUGCUCUCAGACAAGAAGACCAUUUGGAGUUCGAUGAUCCUGAUGAGGUAGAUGAAGAGGAAGUUGAGUAUGAAGAAAUUGAGGAGGAGGUUGAGUAUGAAGAGGUAGAGGAGGAUGAGGAGGAAGAGGAGGAGGAAAAAUCUGAAGUUGUGUGUGAAGUUGAUGCUAAGCAUGAGAGUAAAAUGGUAGAUCAGAAGGAUGAGGAAGAAAAAGAGAAGCAUGCUGAGCUUCUUGCUCUUCCUCCUCAUGGAUCUGAAGUGUAUGUUGGGGGCAUCUCAGAUGUAUCUUCUGAAGAUCUCAAAAAACUAUUUGAGUCGGUUGGAGAAGUUGUGGAAGUGAGUACUGCCUACUUUCUAUGGGUUAGCUUCUGCAUUUGUCUUCUUCUGCUAUUCAGAGUCUGUUUUUCCUGCAGGUGCGAAUACGAGGAAAGGGGGAUAACAAGCUGUAUGCUUUUGUUAAUUUCAGAACUAAAGAACUGGCUUUAAAGGCCAUCCAAAAGCUGAACAAUAAAGACCUAAAGGUUUGUCUUCACUUGAACUCAGAGUCAAUCUUCAUGUUAGUCCACCAGUGAUGCAAACUUUAAGUUUUUAUACUAUCAGUUUGCAAACUUUCUUUACUGCUGCAAUCUUCAUGUUAGUUCGCAACUUUUUUACAAACUUUUUAGACUGAACUCAGAGUCAAUCUUCACUGGUGGAUGCAAACUUUUUAUAUUAUCUUCAUGUUAGUUCACCAGUGAUUUAUUUACAUUUAGCGAAGUACAAGGUUAUAUGAUUACAAUUACAUCUGCUUGCUAUUUUUAAAAAAGUUUGCAGCAGUCCCACUGUCGAGUUUAAAAUACAAAACCUUGUGAUUAAUUGCAAACCCCUGUGUUCAGUCAUACUUUUAGAAAUCAGAAUUGUGGAUGGCAGUAUAUUAUGUUUUCAACAAUAAUUUAUUGGGGGUCCUUUCUAAAGUGUUUCCGGCACCAUAUUAUACAAACCUGGUUUUGCAACCCAAACGACGUAUGAAUACACACUAGUACUUUCUGAAUCCUUGUUGCACCUGAUUAACUCAUAUAUCUUGUAUAUUGAUACGAAAUAUACCAUAUUAUUAUGGUUCUUGUAACAGGGAAAGAAGAUAAAGGUUUCUUCGUCCCAGGCAAAGAACAGGCUAUUUAUUGGGAAUAUACCCCAAGAUUGGACACAGGAUGAUUUCAAAAAUGCAGUGGAAGAAGUUGGUCCUGGAGUUUUAAAAGUCAAUCUCCCGAAGGUAUGGAUACAAUACUAUGAUAGUUCAAUAACUUCAGCAUGCAUCAUUACAGUUGUUUUACACUGAAUGUAUCUUUGUCAUAGGCACCACGUUCAGAUUGCCACAAGGGCUAUGGCUUUAUUGAAUACUACAACCAGGCAUGUGCAGAGUAUGCCAGGCAGAAGAUGUCUACCCCAGAAUUCAAACUAGAUACAAAUGCUCCUACUGUCAAUUGGGCAGAUACUAAGAAUAGUGGUGAAUCUGCCUCUACUGCGAAGCAGGUCCUUUCGAGUUUUGAGCACCACAUGACAAAAUAUUACUUCAAAAUGUUUUCUUCUAUAAUGAUGUUGUGUAUGGAUGUGCAUUUUUUGUCUUCAGGUUAAAUCUCUUUAUGUCAAAAACCUGCCCAAGACUGUUACUGAAGAGCAGCUGAGAACGCUGUUUGAGCACCUUGGAGAAAUUACAAAAGUUGUUCUUCCUCCUGCAAAAGCUGGUCAUGAAAAUCGGUACGGUUUUGUUCACUUUAAGGAACGGUACAUGGCUAUUAAGGCUCUGAAGAACACCGAGAGAUAUGAACUUGAUGGUGAGUUUUCUUCUCUAACAUCCUUCUAUAGCUGGUCAAUUUUGCUUCAUGUAUCCAAAAGGUCAUGGGUUAUUUCUCUAUCAGGUCAGCUACUGGAUUGUUCACUUGCAAAAGCAGACAAGAAGGAUGAUACUAUAUCAGUACCUAAUACAAAAGCAGGUCCAUUGCUGCCAAGUUAUACCCCACUUGGAUAUGGACUGUCGGGGGCCUAUAAUCCACUUGGAAAUGGACUGGCAGGCGCUUAUAAUCCACUUGGAAAUGGACUGGCAGGCGCUUAUAAUCCACUUGGAAAUGGACUGGCAGGUGCUUAUAAUCGACUUGGAAAUGGAUUGGCAGGUGCUUAUAAUCGACUUGGAAAUGGAUUGGCUGGUGCUUAUGGUGUGCUUCCUGCUCCUGCUGCACAGGUACAUGCCAUCAUCUGCUAUGACUGGCCGCUGCAUGAGAUAGAUUACAUAUACAAGAGGUGAUAGCCUUCUAACUGUUGUGUAUGCUUGGCAUUCUUUGCACCUCUGCAGCCAAUUUUGUAUGCUCCAGGUGCUCCUUCAGGUUCAACAAUGAUCCCAAUGGUUCUACCAGAUGGCCGUCUUGUAUAUGUGUAAGUAUUCGCUCUAUCCUAAGUAUUCUUCUACAAAGGUCAUACAUCAUACAUUCAACUGAACUAAUGCAAUUCCAACUCCUACUGCAUCUGGAUUACAUUGUUGUCUUGUAAUGUUACUUGUUGCCGCAAAUCCAUUGUUGAAACACUUGUCAGCCAGUUCAUACAUUAGGUUACAGAGAAGAAACGGUUUUGAUCAAUGUGCACAUAACAUCCAUUUUUUCAGUACAUGAUAAAAGUAGUGCUUGAGAGCCCCUGUGUUAAAACACAUGUAAUUUGUUUAGUAUUUGCAGCUCUUGAAUUUGACAACAUGCAUAGACCUGGAGUAUUUAAAUGAAAAGAGUCUCUAUUGUAGAAUAAAGUUAUUUUGUAAAAUUUGCAAUGGUCCAAUAAUGUGAUGAAAUGAGAUUGUUAUAUUAUAUCCUAACAUAACCCUUUAUUUUGUUCCUUCACCUUCCAUAUUAAGAGCAGCCCUUUGAACUGCUGCAGUGAUAAGUCCAUUGUCGAUUCAUAGUUUCCUUGGUGUUUGGCAGACCACAGGCUGCAGGGCAGCAAACUGUGCAUGUGGCUUCGCCUCCAUCACUGCAAGGUGGUCAUCGUUAUGGUGGUAGCAGUGGUGGUGGAUCCGGCUCUGGUGGAAGGCGGCAGAGAGGAGAUGACCGCGGUAGUACUAGUAGCAACAACAGCCGCAGGGGCCGACACCGUCCAUACUGAUGUUUGCAAAGGUUGCUGUUAGCGUUUAGAAGUUAGAACCUAGGACAAAAGAAUGCCUCUGUUGCAGUACCUGGAUCUGGAUGGCUACCACCUAAUAGCUGGAGACUGUACUUUGUAGUUUGCACUAGCGUUUAUUUUCCUCGGUCUGUAACGAACCGCUGUAGAACCAAUAAUACUGCAAACCGUAGAUGUAGCUUGGGAUGCUAUCCAUCAGGCUUCAAGAACAGUUUUGCUGUGCUCACUGCUAUGGUCUACAUUUGUGUCUGUUUGAUCACUCUCGGCGUGUUCAGUGCCGUGAGGAAUUGAAUUCUGGUGACCUGACUCUGAAUUUAACCUGUUGCUACUGUCUGUGGACUGGAAUGUGUCAAUCCAUCCCCACCUUUAGCUGUGAACGCCAAGCAGGCUGCAAGACUAGGUUCUUCUUGGGUGUUCAGUGCGGUGAGAAAUGUUCGGUGGACUAGGACGGCCGCCCAGGUUCUUCUUGGGUGAACGCCAAGCAGGUUGCAAUAAUCGGUAGAGUAGACUAGGACGGCCCCCUAGAUCAGCUGGCAGCGGCAAAACUCACCAAUCAGCUUACUGAAAGCAUCGGUGUUUCUCCAGUAGAUUCUGCAGAGGCCUUAGCUUUAUUCAAAAAGGAAAAAGAUUCUGCAGAGGGAGAGGAGAAGUGUUGACGGGGGCACGUCGGCAUCCCGCUGCACGGGCACGGCACAGCCGGAGCCGGAGCGGGCUCUCUGUUUGACACAAAGAGGAUUCCAGGCGGUGGUUCGAGGGCGUAGAGGAAGAGAGACUUGCCGUGGAGGCCUCUUGCCAUCAUGUACGCUGGUCCUGUUCAUCAAACCUCGAUCCGUAAGCAGAUCAAGGCUCUGGUCCUCCACUCCUCCGAGCCAGAAUCCUCUGCACGCGUCCUGCGAAACCAUGCUGCGCCCGUUCUUUUCGCGCAGAAGCCGUCGGUGGCGAGCACAGCCUCCGCUUCGCCUGCCAACAGCGAGCUUCUCCUCCCGUCGAUGGUGGCCAUCAGCCGACAUGGCCGCUGAUGACGGCUGCACAAACCAGCCUCCAUGCCUCGGGAGCCAAAGGAAGAUACAUUGGAGUUUGCUUUGAGUGGAGCUAUUUUCUGACUUCGAAUACAGUUCACAAAUGCAGUGGAAGGAUACAUUGGAGUUUGCUUUGAGUGUUCCUGUGGCGGUGGAGUCCAAUUUGAAUUGCUUUUAGACUUUCGUUGCUUGGGCACUGUCAAAACAAACUACAUUUUCAGUUCGUAUUACCAUUGUUAAGGCAGACUGUCUUUUAGGGGGUGUUUGGAUACGAGGUGUUAAACUUUAACAGUGUCACAUCGGAUAUUCGGAUGCUAAUUAGGAAAACUAAACAUGAGCUAAUUAUAAAACUAAUUGCAGAACCCUGUGCUAAUUCGUGAGACGAAUCUAUUAAGCCUAAUUAAUUCAUCAUUAGCAACUGGUUACUGUAGCACCACAUUAUCAAAUCAUGAACUAAUUAGGCUUAAUAGAUUCGUCUCGUGAAUUACACUCCAUCUGUGCAAUUAGUUUUGUAAUUAGCCUAUAUUUAAUACUCCUAAUUAGCAUCCAAACAUCCGAUGUGACAGGUGUUAAAGUUUAACACCUGGUUGCCAAACAGGCCCUUAGUUUACUUACUCAUUUCAAGAAAAUUGCCAUGGCAAUCAGUUUAGAGUCUGACAGGUGAUUAGCAAAAAAGAUGAAACAGGUGAUUUUCCAUAGAAAAGAGCACAACAAGAUUAGUUCAAUAAUCAACAGGUAAUUAGCACAAAAGAUGAGUUCAAGAAAAUCACAGCUUGAGCAACAUGAAAAGAGCAAUCCUGACCACAAGCCCCGAAUAUUCAGUCUCCAUUCUCCCAUACCACCAUCCGUUCACAAACAACUCCUAAUCUCAAGCAACCACGGUAGUAAUAGCAACAACAGCUACAGGGCCCGGCACCGUCCGUACUGAUGUUUGCAAACGCUGCUGUUAGCGCUUAGAAGUUAGAACCUAGCACAAAGAAUGCCUUUUUUGCAAUUUGCAGUACCCCGGCUGCCUACCAGCGAAUGCUGGAAACUGUUCAUUCCACUAGUGUUUAUUUUUACUACUCGUCUGUAACAAACCGAUGUAGAACCAAUAAUAUUGCCAACCGCAGAUGUAGCUUGUGAUGCACUUUAUUCAUCAGGCUUCAAGAAUAGUUGUGCUGUGCUGUGUGCUCGCUGCUAUGGACUACCUUUGUGUCUGUUUGAUCACUAGGUGUGUUCAGUGCGGCGAGGAAUUGAAUUCUGGCGGAUAAAAUGAGUUUACUCUGAAUUUAACCUGCUUCUAAUUUCUAUUGUUUGUGGAGUGUAAUGUGUCUACUGUCGAUCCAUCCCCACCUUAGCUUAAGAUGACAACUGUUCGUUACACUACGAGGCCCCCCAGAAUUGGGGGUUCUUGGGUGAACGGCAAGCAGGUUGCAAGAAUCGAUAACAGAUUGACAGGGAUGAGUUGGUGAUCAUCAGCUAGCAGCGGGCUGCGGCAACUCAGCACCCAGCUGAAGUGUACGCCGAGAGGGCAAAAGUGAUCGCUGAACAAAUCUGAACUGUGAACUGAAGCAUUGGUGCUUUUGCGUGGAACUUAGGAUGGGCAUAUAAUUUGUGUACUCAUGCUCUAUUGCUCUGCUCCCUCCUCCCCUUCUCCGCCUCCGCCGGCGCCAGCGACUCGAGGGGAAGAUAUUCCUGUGGCACGUACCGCACAUCUUGGUUCGUCUUGUCGAUGGUCUGAACCACCAUGGAUUAGCCUCUGAACCCAAGGCUAAUGUGGCGAUUCCAACGCAUGAUCUUGGUUACGUGCUUCCGUUGUUCAAUGCCAAUGUGAUCAGAUCACGGCUCGGUCAACAGAAGGAACACAUGAUAAGAAACUAGUUCAUUUCAAGAUAACAUUGCACAAUCAUCAAAUUAUCGGUAGGGAACACACAAGCUUGAAUAUUCGAUCGACAUUAUUCCUUAUCACCACACAUUCACAGAGCUCUCACCACUAACCCACAAAUCUCAAUCAUACAAGAAAACCAUAGCAACUGGCCCGACAAGAAGGUCCAGAGCACUCAACGCUGACACCGAGACAGGAACGCACACCAGCUCAGCUCAGGACUUGAGCUCAGUUAAUUUCAGGUCCAAACGAACGCCGCAACGGCAACCACGGCGGCGGCGACGCCCAGCAAGUAGCCUGCACCAUCAGAAGGGCCCGUCCCCGCCGCGCCGCUGUUCCCGUACUGGGCGCUUGCGGCGCCGAAAUGGGUGGCGACGCAGGCGACAAGCAGCAGGAGAGCAGCAACCAGCUGCUUGGAAGCAGACAGUUGGUCCAUCCUGCUGGGUUCAGAGCUCAGGUACCCUUGCACGUUCUUGGCGAACGGCAGGCUAUAUGUAGCCAACCGACGCCGGGGAUGGCACUCAUGAGUCAUGACAGCAUCAAAACGGCAAAUGGAGGGAUUGGAAGCAUCUCGCUAGCUCGCGACGGUAGCAACAAGAAGCUGGAUCUCUCCAUGGGUUGAAGCCUUGUUUUAACCGUCAAGUUCUGAACGACAGGUCAGUUUGACCGUUUCAAUGGAGUUCCCUUUGCCAACAUUUGGAGCCUGGAUCCAUUGAUCUGGACAGUUGGUUUGCGGCAUAUUCGUCUGAAAUUUUGAAGAAAAUGGACAGUUGAUGCUCCGGUAGCUACAAAGGUGAGGCCUUGCUUUUUAUGUGUCCACACCAUCCAUUACUGUAUGCAGCUUGCUGAUUGACAGCGUCAGUUCCAGUUAAAAAUUUCCUCUCCCUUUCAUGCUCUGGCAAUCAACUAGCAUGUGUGUGAUAAUGAACCAAUUAUUCUCUUUUGACACUUAGAAGUGAAUGCCAAAGGCGGCAAUGCCUGAUGCAAACUACUAAGUGUUAGGCACGGGCAAUGCCUCAUGAGAUCCUGCGUCAAAUUCUGAAACAAAACACGGGUAUAAGACGACAUACACACUUAAACCGCUUCGGACGUGCCCCCUCCACUUUUAUCCGGGCUUGGGACCGGCAUUGGCAGUGUUAGGCACCCCCCUACCCCACACCCUAACACGUACCCACAAGCAUAAACAAGAAAAUUAAACAGAACGAAAAAUAUCCCCAGUGCUCCAAUCACAACAAAAUUCAUCACGAUUAGUUAUCACUACAAACCACAUAUAGAAGGAGCUAUACAAACUGCUAGUAUUAAAAAUGCAACCAUCACAGCUAAAACCACUAAAUCAAACAAUAGUAAUUACAAACAGCACAGGCAAGGAGAAAAUUAUGCCAUGGCUGGGAAGACAAACUUGGAAUGAGCAUAUUUCACGUUAGCCAGCAUGCAAAUGAUGAUAAUCAACGACCAACAGAAACUUGGAAUAGCUCAGUAAACUCACAGUGCAAUUCGGCACAAGGACAUUACAAUUUUAUUAACAGAAGACACAACCACAUUGCAUUACUCAAAACUUCCAUAAAUGCGUCAAUUUAUAGCCUCAUACCACUUCAAUGCUGCAAAGAUGACGAGAAAAAUGGAAUCAAACAGCAACAUCAGGUUUCGCACAAACACACAGACACAACAAAAUGCUGCAAAUCAUCAAUUCCUAAAUAAGACUAGAAGAUUUUCAAUGCAACAAAAAGCAUACAUAACUCCUCAUCAACAUCUACUUAAUAGUUAUUGCACCUGAAGGUAACAACUAUAAAAGACAAUACCCAAUGAAAUUCAUUACCAUAAAUUAUUAUAAUCGGUAGACAACACAGGAAACAGGAGUCUACUGAAGGACACACACAAGGACUUCUAGGUAGGAUUCAACUCACAGUUAAAAAGACAAGUUCACACCAUUACCAAAUAAUGUAGUAUUUGAACUGCAUAAUAUACAACACAAAUGAGUCUUAUCCAGAAGGAAGGAUAUUAUAGGGACAUGGUCAUUAGUAUGGAUGCACAACUUUAGAAGAAAAAUUUCACACCAGUUAAAGAGUAACCAAGAUACACACUUCUUAUUUCUCACAAAAUUGAAGGACCAACAGUAAUGAUACUAUCAGGUAACAGAAACAACUUGUGUUAGGAGGCCGGCAUUACUAGUGAAGCAAAGAAAGAAUUCAAUAAUUCCUGUGUUAGGCUAUCUUAAGAUGAAAUGAUCAAUUAGUUGCUUGGAAUUGCUGAAUGCAAACAGUUAGUAUUGCUGAAUGCAAACAAUGUCUUGUUUCCUUUGAAAUUUAAUUCCAGCAAUUUGCAAACUAAAAUAGGGAAACUAUGAACUCAAAAAUAUAAUUUGUGCAACUUCAAAACAGUAAACUCCAUGACUAAUAUCAUAUGUACUGCAGUGUUCACCAAAACUUUGUACAAAACCUCACACAGGGUUUGUCAAAGAAAGUUGAAGAAAGGAUCUGAAUCACAUAAUACUUCUAGACUAGAAAACUAGACAAUAGAACAGUACUGAUAUGUCCUAAUCUAAACCCUUCCUAUGCACCUAAAAACAUGUUAAAUAUAGUUAACAGGAACCUAAUUGACCGUGGUUUAUUACAGAAAUAAAGCAACUAACAGCACAAUAAAAAAAUCCAAGCAUGAUAUGACAUUAAACAGUGGUAUAAAAGAACACAACUUACAACUGCAUAUAACAAUAAUAAAUACGAUUAACAAUUUAACUCUUAAGAAGAAAAAGACCAGCAGGUGUUUUACAGAGUAGCAUAAAACACCAAACCCAAGGGUUAGAAACUCAGUUUGGAUGUAACACAAAUGAAGGAUCUCUUAUCACAGAACUUAAGGGCCAAAACUUAUCACAGAAUUUAAGGGCCAAAAAUAAUGUUUCUUCUUAAUAUAAUGAUACCCAGCUCUCCUGCGUGUUCGAGAGAAGGACCAAAAAUAAUGAUAUGAGACAGCAAACAACUUAGCAAUACAGUUCAAACUGGAAAGGAAAAUAGGUAAGUUAGUAAUAAAUAAUUAGGAAAAAAAUCAGCGCACAACUCCAGUUAGAUAUCUACAGAUAUGCCUAGCUUGAAAUCAGCUAAAUUGAUGAAACAUCUAAUAAAAAUGAAGCAAUCAUCCAUUUGAACAAAACGAGACAACUCAGGUUUGUUAGUUCACAUGAUCACCGAGGCAACCUAAAAUAAAGGUUUUUCAGUAACUUGCAAGUAGCUUUGAUGGAGAGUGAACACCGCUAACAAAGAGUUUAGACUAGCAAACUACUUGCUUUUACAGAGAUGUCUAAAACUAAGCAUGGAACUUAACUAAUCCCUACUUGCCCCAUACGUUAGCACCAUUGCUACUGAAUAGAGUUAUAGUCUAGUAUCUAAUUGAUCUUCUAGACAUGCACAAAGCAAUACAAGCACGGAACUACACUAACAUAAUUGUCACAUAUACCAGCAUAAGCAAAUCAUUCAGAGAAUCCUCCAAAAUAGUAAUAAAGGGAACAAGAAAGAGCAAGAUGAUUAGGAAAAUUUACUAAAUCAAACUGGUUUUGCAAACUAGAACAUGAAUAAAUAUAAACCUUUUUCAGCUGGGACUCAUAACAACCAAAAAAACUAUGAGCAGACUUUCCUAGAGUCCUCUAAUCAAGGAAAGAUUCAAGUUCUGACUAGCUUCAGACCAAGAGAAACAAAAGGAAAUAGAAGCUAAAAGAUUUUGCGACUAAAUCAAAACAAAACGAUGGAUCAAUCUGAAAAGAAUUGUUCAUACUAUUAGGUUAUCGCCAACAGAACAGGAAAAUAACUAAAAAACCAUAUACAAUUAACAGACCUAAAUGCUUACAAAGAUUAAACCCAAAAUAGAUUGAAAUACAUUAAAAUAGUGCACAUAACAGUUUACUUGUUCAUUAUUAUGGUGGACAUCAAUUAAAAUAAACCCAUGCAGCCAAGAAAUAACUAAUACGGCCACAAUAUGCGUAGAUAGACAAGCACAAGCAAACUAGUGAAGAAGAUGCAAUAAAAUAGAGUGCUUUAUUGCAACGAGAAGAUGUAUGUUUACUUAAAAACUAAGCAGUUAUUUCUACAAUACUAAAAGAGAUACGAUUUCUUAACUGUGCACAGCUAGAGGUAUGAUUCAUUACAAUGCAUACUGUACACAUCUUGAGGUAUGAUUCAUUACAGCACAUAUUGCAUCAGAAUUGUUAAAAGUUGGUUACAAUAACUCCAUAAACAGACCUCAAUAAGGACCUAAAUAUGAAUGGAAAUUAAUGUUUUUUUUCAACUACAGUGUAUUUCAAAUCUGGAUUUUACACUAUCUCCACUGUUUGCUCAUUAUAGUGCUAGGCAAGGCGACGUUGCUCCGCCUAGCACCACCUUUUGAAACAGAGUUCAGGUUAGAAUUCUAUUGCUCCAAGAAUUAUGCAAAACAACCAGAUGUUAAUAAUACAUAGUGGUUACAACAAAUCCUUCUAUACUGAAAUUACACAAAUACAACUCCCGACAUAGAGAAGAUGCUUGGUCAACAGUACACACACAAACAUAAGUUACAACAGAAGGAAGCUGGCACUGAAACCGGCACAUGGUCCAGUAAAUGAAGGAACAUAAGAUGAUAAGAAGCUGAAAUCUAGUAGAGUCCGCAAAUCCAAGAUUCAUUCAAAACCAUGUGACGGAAGUAUCACCAGAGGACUAGGAGAUUCAGACCAAAGCACUACACCAUAAUCUGACAGAAGACCUUAAGGUACCACCAGAUAAACACGCAUCAGUAGCACAUCAGUAAGAAAACCACAACUUAGAGCAUACAUCCAUGGCCCUCAAAGCAAGAAUAGUACUUAGAAGAAUCUUCAAGCAGAUGGCUUCACAUGUAGCUAGCACUAAACUACACUGCACAGAUAUAGCAAUUAUAAAACCCACAUUCUGAAUUUCCUUGAAAUGAACCUUUCAAUUGAGCUGACUAUUUGAUAAUGAUAGAACAACAAGCCACCUUCAUGAGUGUGUCAAGAGUACUGAAUCAAAAUCCUGUUAUAGUACUGAAUCAAAAUUCUGUUCUAACAGCCAAAUAAAGCAUCGCUAUGUCAACCAUGAAUCCAUGAUUCAUACAGUGCGUGGAUCUGCAUACACCUCACAACCAGCACCAAAUAAUCCGACCAAUACUGCUUGCCGAAAUAAACAGCAAAUUGACACCAUAUACUUGUAAAUUCCAAACACACCUAAGCAAUCAUAUCUUAUCAUAACUAAACCUUCUGAUGAGACUGACUACCAUGAGAGGAACAUGCCAAAUGCAAAAACCGCAGAAUUCUGAGCACUCCACUUGCCUCCAUAUUCCAAUAACAAGUAUCAGGUACAGUUUCCAUCACAAAAAUUAUCCUGAACAGACCAAUCAUCAUGCAAACCAGAGACAGAUCGAGACCAAACCCUUCAGAUUAUCCUGUUUCGGCCAAGCCAAAUUUUCCGUGCUACCCAAUUAAAACCGAUCUGACCUUGAACAGAAAUCGAAACAAAAGAGCUGCAGAACCUUAGAUAUCAACAAAUAGUAAUUAGUCACAAAUCAACACAAAACUAUUUCCCCAAACAGACGGAUCCUGGGGGAAGCAGGGGAAUCAUCCAACCUAGACCUGGAAUCGAACGGAUCGAGCACCGCAAAGUACAAGCAACCCAAUCUAUCCGGCUAGCCCGCGCACCUGAUCAACCAAUCGACAAAACAAACAUGAGAUCGAAAACAACUGCGGCUGGCUCACCUACGACUUACCCAUCACCAGUUCACCACGACACGAUGGAGCAAGCGACUAGGGGAAGCCCCCUCUAUACCACGCCUACCGAUUCUAUUCCACGGUGAGGAAGAGACCCGGGGGUCGGGUGGCUUUAUAGGGCGCACAGGUCGGUAGUUGAUCGUCGGUUCCCCGACGGAGUCGGUUCCG
rnacentral:lncRNA from 1 species